rnacentral:lncRNA from 1 species
GAGUUGUACCUUGACCUUAUGACAACUAGAACCGGAUACUUAAUAAAACACACCCUUCCAAGUGCCAGAUACAACCGGUGAUCGCUCUCUCACAGGGCGACGAAGGGAGGAUCAUCGGUUAUAUGCUAUGCGAUGAUACUGUGUGAACUUACCAUCUAGUCUCUUCUCCUGCUGCAAGAUGGAGGUCACCAGAAGCGUAGUCUUCGAUAGGACUAGCUAUCCCCCUCUUAUUCCGGCAUUCUGUAGUUCAGUCCACAUAUGAUACCCUUAUUCCAUUUGAUACCAAUGCAUACAUACAUAGUGUAGCUCCUUGCUUGCGAGUACUUUGGAUGAGUACUCACGGUUGCUUUGCUCCCUCUUUUCCCCUUUCUAUACCCGAUUGCUGCGACCAGACGUUGGAGCCCAGGAGCCAGACGCCACCGUCGACGACAACUACUACUACUCUGGAGGUGCCUACUACUACGUGCAGCCCGCUGACGGCGACCAGGAGUAGUUUAGGAGGAUCCCAGACAGGAGGCCUGCGCCUCUUUUGAUCUGUAUCCCAGUUUAUGCUAGCCUUCUUAAGGCAAACUUGUUUAUCUUAUGUCUGUACUCAGAUAUUGUUGCUUCCGCUGACUCGUCUAUGAUCGAGCUCUUGUAUUCGAUCCCUCGAGGCCCCUGGCUUGUAAUAUAAUGCUUGUAUGACUUAUUUUUAUUUGUAGAGUUGUGUUGUGAUAUCUUCCCGUGAGUCCCUGAUCUUGAUCGUACACGUUUGCGUGUAUGAUUAGUGUACGGUCAAAUCAGGAGCGUCACAAGUUGGUAUCAGAGCCGUCUGCCUGUAGGAAUCCCCUUUCCAACUCCUUGGCCGAAGUCGAGUCUAGACAUUACAAAACUUUUACUAACAUGGUUGUGUGCCUUACGGGCUCACGUCGCCAUUUGGGUGGUAUUAGGAUCUUUUACUCCUCGAUCCUUACUCCGGGACUCUGAACUCUCUUCUACUCGGGUUAAAUGAUUUUUCUAAAAUCUAACUUUAGGUUCUCGAAAAUACUUCUCCCGGAGAGCCCCUUCACUCCAGAUGAUCGCCUGCUGCACCUGAAAAUUUUGAAGAUACUCUCCGAUGUUUCCUCGAGACCCUUGUGCCCUUUGCCGUUGCAAUCCCAUACCACCGGUAAAUCCCUAUGGGAAGCUACAUACAGUUGUCGGUCAUAACUUCAUCUCCAAUUUGGUCUUGUUAUUACAAGAUACCCUGAAAUACUUCGGAUAUUCCGAGAAUCCCUUGUGUCUACUGCCCUGCAGUUCCUUGCCGCCUGAAUGCCCCUAUGGAUAAUUCCUCGCACUUACCGAGUAUCCACUCAUCCCCAGUUGAUUCAUGUAUUUCAUAAAAGUCUUCGAAAUACCAUUCGAUCUUUCGAAAAUCCUGAGAAGCCUAUUGAUCUUGAAAUUCUUGCUUGCUUGCAUUAUGGUUAAUCCCAUAAGUCUCGUAUUCUUAUUGACAUCCCUUGUCUUUAUGAUCUUAAGUCCAUUGAUUUAAUAUGUUGAGGAUGCUCCCAUUCCUCAGUCGAAUCCUAGAAUUCAUCCUUUUGGCUCAGACGUCAUUUUAAACAUGAGCUGGAUCUCGACCAAUCAAAUUAUCGUCGAUUGUACCCCUAAGGCUAUUCAACUUAUCCAUCCCUAAUCAGAGCUUUGCUUCUGAUCCCUUGUCUUGGAAUUCAUAAUUCCUUUGCAUUUGAGCUUUGAGUUGGUCAGUUGUUUCUAUAAUCUGAUGCACUUGCGUUCAUUCUUCGUUUGAUAGAGUACCAAAACUCACAUCAGCUCCAUUGUAGACCACCAGACCUCGUGUUGGAUUAUUAUCCGACAGUGUCCUUCAUAUUCAAUAACCUUGUGAGCCUUUCCAUGGGUAUAUAAUGCCUUUGGUAAAUUGUAUCCUCUGCUUUGUUAACCAUGCUCUACUUUCGAGCUUGUAUUAUUUACCCAUGAACUUUGUGGUAUAUGUUUCUAAGAUGCCCCGAUGAGUUGAACCAACGCCUUCCCUAAUCUGUGUGAACCCGAAAGAUUUCAGGGUCAUACUUAUCUGGUAUUGCACCAGGUAAAACUUUCAACAACUAAUGUCAUUUUCGAAAUACAAGAGGUGAAUGGAAGGUUAUGCAUUGAGGAAGCGGGAGUCGACCUUGAACUUUGUGUUCAUGCCCAUGGACCUGAUGUGGAACUUAUCAUGGAAGCUUCUUGAAAAACUUUUAAUUAGUUGGAUAAUUCUUUCGGUGUCUUUGAAUUGGAUCCCUUGCAACUAUGGGUUCGGCCAUGUUGAUAUUCCUUGAUUCCUUUUCUCGGACAAGUUAAAGUACUUGUAUUUUGUAGAUCAAUACACUUGUCAACCCUCUAUUUUGCUCUACCUCCGAGUGUUACCCUCUGGUAUCUUGAUAAUAUCAUCGAACCAUGUUGCUUAUUAUGAGCCUUCAUCGAGUAGUAAUCCUCACUGAUUCCAAUGUUUCCUGGUUCCGAGUUGUUAGUCACUCAAGGACACCGAUAACUAAAUCGGGUCCGCACCACGAUUAAACAACUCUUAGUAAUCACCUUUACUCACGAGUUUGUACUCGAGCAUGUCAAUCCUAGCCUGAUCGGCCAUCACCUUGUGCUAAAGUUUAAACUGUGCCACCCGGUCCUUAUUCCCAGAGCACAGCUUUCGACGAUGAGCUAAUCUUACGUCGAUCUUCCUCGUCAUAACAAUUGUCCUUGAAUGACAAGCCUGAUUUCAAGUUUGUGUCAUACCUAUGGUUUCGAUAACUUCUCGCUUCAUCAUUCCAUUGACUUGAAGUCAUCGCCGAUCGGUUACAUCUUCUUGUAACCUCUCGACAAAUGUGUCAUGAUCAUCAUCAACAUUUUGACCCCUUCCAAGAUAUCGAUUGAAUUCACGAUGAUAAGUACCCUCCUUGCCCUCGAUGAUUUGUGUUAUCAUCGACCACUUUAUUGCCUUCCGUUCAACACAAACUUGUUCGUGUCUCUAGCACCGUAUUGCUUCCAAGUUAAUGGUCGAUAUUUCAUUCUUAGACUAUUGGUUGUUGAAUCACCUUUCUAACAUUGAUCAUGCUACCUAAGGCCAUACUUUGGGCACCCUUUUCAACUAAUGUUUAAUUGUGUAUGUUUUUCCUUGAGCAUACAUCAUCAUAUCAUUUGAUUCGACAAAUGUUAUCUCCUUGUUCACAUAACUGUGGAAAUCCAUCUUUUUGGAUACCUCGUUGAAUUAUUGCUGAGUCCAUCAGCCACCUCCUCAUCCUCUCCUUGGCUUAAUGAUGAAUCCCUUAGUGUAUCCAGAGUCUGACCUUUGAUUGAAGACCAUGUCAAUGCUAUCUCGAAGCAUGUCUGUGGUACUCCGAUUUUCAAAGAGAACAUUUGAAGCCCAAUGCUAAAUGUUUCCUGCUCAAUUACCCAAACACCACUGUAUGGGUAAUGUCAUGAAAUCCCCCCCCCCCUUACCUAAAGGGUUUUCUACAUUAUAUCCUGUCAAGGAAAUCAUGCUUUGCUUGUCCUUGGGAAUGAUAUACCCCAAAAAAAUGUGUUUAAACACAUUUUCCUUUCCAUUGUUCUGUUUAAUCUGAUACAUAUGUUUUCCUUUCCAUUGUUUGGUUUAAUCUUUCUUGUGAGCUAUAUGAUCUAAGCAGUAAUAUUCUCCUGCUUUUGUAAGCACCUCGGUGUACAACUUUGUUAGUAAGAACCUGUUACUAUUGUUGAUGACAUUCCGGUAUCCACCGAUGGAAGAGAACUUUGCCUAAUGGUCCGCCUCGUUCAAUGAGCAGGAAAAGGAUUCUCUUCGUCCCUCGCCCUUGGUAACAACGUUGUUGCCAACAUAACUGACAGGCUACCCUCUAACAGGCCUUACUUACAUGAUCGUGCAAGACGUCAUCACCCUUCCUACUUUUAGCCCACAUGGUGGGCCCAUAACCCAUAGUUCCACAGGAUCGAAACCUGACUCUCCUGUACACCCAUUGUUCCCAAAGUUAUUCCUCCCGCGUGGGCUCGUAUAUAAUUCAUGAGCCACCUCCCGAUGAGAUCAUCAAUUCUGGCAUCGGACACAAUAAUUAAUCCGUUGCUUUGAAACCCCUUUCACCUUUUGACUAGGCAUUGAACGAUUGUCUAUCCGCUUGAAACUUCUUAUUGUACCGUCUUACUUUGCUCUUGAUGUGUUUCAUUUGUUCAACCCCAGAGAUAGUCAUGUGUUCAUUCAUGGGAUAACCCCAGAUGAUUACCCCUUAUAGCAUCCUAUUGUUAUCGACCUGCCCCUUACCUAUUCGUAAGUACGAUGGAGUUCCCGAAGAAAGGAUGCCGACUUCAUCAUGAUGACCUGGAGAAGAUCAACUUAAUGGAUCGACCUCCUCGAGAAGAGUAACCAAGACCAACAAGACCCGCUAGGAUUUCGUAACCUAUUUCCUUCCCCGCACUUCCCCUCUUAAAUCUCGGGACGAGAUUUCUUGUAGUGGAGGAGAAUUGUGACGCCCGGGUAAUUAAGCUAUAGUGAUCCUCUACUAAUGAUGCCAUGUCACCUCGAUUAUAGUUGCUAAUCUCGAGUUAGUUCGAAACAGAUUCAAAUUCAAAUUUUAAAAUAUAGGGACAAUAAAACUUUUCAAACAAUAAAACUAAAAUGUUCAAGUUGUGCCAAAUAAUGCGUAGGUAAUUAUGGUGGAGAAACCACACUUUUAUAAAAUAUUUAUAAUACUAUAAGAUGAAUAAAACUGUAGAUAAAACAAUUAAAUUAAAUGCCUUUUGUAUUAUGUAAAAUACUAAACUGUUGUGUUUAGGGUAAAUCUUUUUAUGGCAGUGGGUUUAGUGGCAAUGCUAAAUUUAGGAGUUGAAAUUAUAUUUUUACAAAAUUAAAAUAAAACAAAAAAGAAAAAUAAAUAAAAGAAAAGAGGUUAGAAAAACAGAAAACCAAAACUAAAAAAAAGGAAACAGCACCCCCACUGGGCUCCGGCCCAGCUGGCCUGCCCAAAUGGGCCAAGGCCCACCCCGUCGCCUUAACCCCCCACGCCCCCGAAACCCUAACCCCUNNNNNNNNNNNNNNNNNNNNNNNNNNNNNNNNNNNNNNNNNNNNNNNNNNNNNNNNNNNNNNNNNNNNNNNNNNNNNNNNNNNNNNNNNNNNNNNNNNNNNNNNNNNNNNNNNNNNNNNNNNNNNNNNNNNNNNNNNNNNNNNNNNNNNNNNNNNNNNNNNNNNNNNNNNNNNNNNNNNNNNNNNNNNNNNNNNNNNNNNNNNNNNNNNNNNNNNNNNNNNNNNNNNNNNNNNNNNNNNNNNNNNNNNNNNNNNNNNNNNNNNNNNNNNNNNNNNNNNNNNNNNNNNNNNNNNNNNNNNNNNNNNNNNNNNNNNNNNNNNNNNNNNNNNNNNNNNNNNNNNNNNNNNNNNNNNNNNNNNNNNNNNNNNNNNNNNNNNNNNNNNNNNNNNNNNNNNNNNNNNNNNNNNNNNNCCGCCCUGCUCUCCUCCCCCCCGAGCCUGUUGCUUGCUGCCACUUCUGCCAUUGCCGCUGCGCGCCACUGCCGCCUCGCCUCCACGCGCUGCAGACCCUGCCGGCCGCGCCCUACGCCCGACCAUCUCCCAAGCGCCCCCUUUGCUCUGCUGCUCCUGCCGCCUUGUGCGCCCGCGCCCCCUGCGCCGCGCGAGACCGCCGCUAAUCGCUGCUGCCCUUCCCCAUCCCUGCCGCAGCUACCGUCUCCGCCCCCCGUCGCCUUCCCCUGCGGUUGGCGCCGGCACCAACGCCGCAGCCACCUCGCUCGUCUCCGCCUCUGGCUCCCGCCACUCCGGCCACUCGCCGUGGCCUUGCCACUUUCGCCAGAGGCGGACAGCCCCUGUCUCUACGGGCGGGCGUCCUGGCGCCCCGCACCCGACCCACCGCCCGCGCCCGUUUGACCCUAUGGGCCACUGCCCAGUGGGCCCCCACCCAUGCCCCUGUUAAAAAAGGAGAAUAAAAAACAUAAUAAAAAUAUUAAUUAGUUAACUUAAUUAACUUAAUUAGAUCUAUUAAAUUAACCUAAUCACUUAUUAAACUAACUAACCUGUAUAGUUAACCUAAGUCAAUGACAACCAGGACCCACGCGUCAGUUUGACCAAGUCAACUGACUGUUGACUGCUGACAUCACCCUGAUGUCAUGCUGACAUCAUAAUGGCAUUUCCAAAUUAAUUUAAUUCUGUUAAUUUCAAAAAUGAUUUAAAACUUUGGAAAUUCAUAUAAAAUAAUCCGUAACUCGGAUGAAAAAACUUUGUACACGAAAGUUGCUCAGAACGACGAGACGAAUCCGGAUACACAGCUCGUUCAUCCGCCACACAUCCCUAGCAUAGCGAACACAUAACUUUCCCCCUCUGGUUCAUCUGUCCGAAAAUGCGAAACACCGGGAAUACUUUCCCGGAUGUUUUCCCCCUUCACCGGUACCACCUCGUACCGCGUUAAGGCACACCUAGCAUCACGCUCUGUCAUGACAUGCAUCAUCAUGCAUUUGUUUGCAUUAUAUUUAUUGUUUCUUCCUCCUCUUCUCUCGCUAGACAUCGAGACCGACGCCGCUGCUACCCAGUAUGACUACGGUGUUGACGACCCCUCUCUCUUGCCAGAACAACCAGGCAAGCCCCCCCUUUGAUCACCAGAUAUCGCCUACUCUUCUCUCUACUGCUUGCAUUAGAGUAGUGUAGCAUGUUACUGCUUUCCGAUUAAUCCUAUUCUGAUGCAUAGCCUGUCAUUGUUGCUACAACUGUUGAUACCUUACCUGCAAUCCUAAAUGCUUAGUAUAGCAUGCUAGUUUAUCAUUAGUGGCCCUACACUCUUGUCCGUCUGCCAUGCUAUACUACUGGGCCGUGAUCACUUCGAGAGGUGAUCACGGGCAUAUACUAUAUACUUUAUACUGUUACAUUACUCAUGAUACUGUUCGGAGAUGGGGGCUAAAGGGGCAGGUGGCUCCAUCCCGGUAGAGGUGGGCCUGGGUUCCCGACGGCCCCCGACUUCUACUUUGUGGCGGAGCGACAGGGCAGGUUGAGACCACCUAGGAGAGAGGUGGGCCUGGCCCUGGUCGGCGUUCGCGGAUACUUAACACGUUUAACGAGAUCUUGGUAUUUGAUCUGAGUCUGGCCACUGGCUUAUACGCACUAACCAUCUACGCGGGGACAGUUAUGGGCACUCAACGCCGUGGUAUCAGUCGAAGCCUUCGUGACGUCAGCGACUGAGCGGCGUGCGCCAGGUUGGACUGGAAAGCCUACGAUAAGGGAGGCUAGGUCUGCUCAUCGGCCGCGUACACAACAUGCAGGUGUGCAAUGGGCGAUGGGCCCAGACCCCUGCGCCAUAGGAAUUAGACCGGCGUGCUGACCUCUCUGUUGUGCCUAGGUAGGGCUGCGACGUGUUGAUCUUCCGAGGCCGGGCAUGACCCAGGAAAGUGUGUCCGGCCAAAGGGGAUCGACGGGUUAUGUGGUGCACCCCUGCAGGGAAGUUGAUCUAUUCGAAUAGCCGUGUCCCUCGGUAAAAGGACGACCCGGAGUUGUACCUUGACCAUAUGACAACUAGAACCGGAUACUUAAUAAAACACACCCUUCCAAGUGCCAGAUACAACCGGUGAUCGCUCUCUCACAGGGCGACGAAGGGAGGAUCAUCGGUUAUAUGCUAUGCGAUGAUACUGGGUGAACUUACCAUCUAGUCUCUUCUCCUGCUGCAAGAUGGAGGUCACCAGAAGCGUAGUCUUCGAUAGGACUAGCUAUCCCCCUCUUAUUCCGGCAUUCUGCAGUUCAGUCCACAUAUGAUACCCUUAUUCCAUUUGAUACCAAUGCAUACAUACGUAGUGUAGCUCCUUGCUUGCGAGUAUUUUGGAUGAGUACUCACGGUUGUUUUGCUCCCUCUUUUCCCCUUUCUAUACCCGAUUGCUGCGACCAGACGUUGGAGCCCAGGAGCCAGACGCCACCAUCGACGACGACUACUACUACUCUGGAGGUGCCUACUACUACGUGCAGCCCGCUGACGGCGACCAGGAGUAGUUUAGGAGGAUCCCAGGCAGGAGGCCUGCGCCUCUUUUGAUCUGUAUCCCAGUUUAUGCUAGCCUUCUUAAGGCAAACUUGUUUAUCUUAUGUCUGUACUCAGAUAUUGUUGCUUCCGCUGACUCGUCUAUGAUCGAGCUCUUGUAUUCGAGCCCUCGAGGCCCCUGGCUUGUAAUAUAAUGCUUGUAUGACUUAUUUUUAUUUGUAGAGUUGUGUUGUGAUAUCUUCCCGUGAGUCCCUGAUCUUGAUCGUACACGUUUGCGUGUAUGAUUAGUGUACGGUCAAAUCGGGGGCGUCACACUCUUGUCCUACCAACACUCAGCAGAUCGUGAUUACCUUAAACUUGUGACCCUGUAGGUUCGAUAAAACAUAGACAUAAACAAACCCCCUUUGUUUAGUGAUCGAUAGCGGAACCUGGACGUCCAUAUCAAUCCCUAUGAGUACAUGAAUGGCCUUUGAGUGAACCUUUGAUUAUCAUGUGAUAUUCCCUUUGCUUCGAGAUACUUUACAAAACCCAAGGUGAGAUGUGUCAGUAUCCUCUUGAGUCAUACACAUGCUCAUUAUACCGUUCUCCUUGUUACCGGUUUUGUUCUUAUUUCUCGUUGAAAUCUUCCGGCAUCUCCAUGACAUAGUCACCUAUGUUUCGCCAGACGAUGAUGAUGUCUUCACAUGGAGAGGGUUCUAAGAAUAUCUCUCCAUUUCCGGAGGAGCAAAUCCCACUCUUGAGCUAUCUAAUCCCUUGUCAAACUUUCUGAUGAACCUAUAAGUUGUUGUUAUGAUCACCGUAUUAUAGAUGACGUUUGAGCAACCCCAAAGUCCACUGUAUGAUAGGAAGUGACUAUGAUACUCUUAUGGUCUAAGGAACUAAAAUGUACAUUAACACUCCGUGUUAUAGCAAUUGACUUCUGACGAUAUUAUCUCAAAGUAUAAUAAAUAAGUUUUGGCUGAUUCAAUAUGAUCGUUCUUCUAAAGUCAACCUCUCAAUGUUGUUUUACGACUAUGUUACUCUUAAAGAUAUUCUAGGAUCCAGAAAACAUGAUCACUGACAACUUCAGAUGCGAGACUAAGAAUGCUAUUUUACCCUUUGUCAUUCCACACGUGCUUAUGGAUUUUCCACUGAAUCUCACAUUCCAGAAUCAUAACAUUUAUAACAUGAAAUAUAAAUUCUUAAUAAUGAACCUAGAAAUAUAAUAAUACAAUAUUAUUGCCGCUAUGGCAUAUUUCCAAUAGUUUCCCACUUGCACUAGAGUCAAUAAUCUAGUUAGCACAUUUUUCAUUUACACCAAUGGCAAUCCGGUGCUUGUCAAUGCUCAGCUUGUGGUAUAGCAUUCAUCCCAUUGGAUCUUGACAACUUCAGAUCCACGUGUAUCAUUUGCAUUUCAAUGCAUCUGUCAUGCUAGCUUUGUUAUGUAUUGAAUCACUAGAAGGACCUACGAUUCCUUAGGUUGAGCUAUAGAACCACUAUUAAGUACAGUGUUCCAUUGGCACAAUCGUCUAGAAAUCAUACCAAGCUCAUAAAUGAAAGUUUGAUUGAUCACUCUCCAUUGUUGCUUCUAAAGCGACAAUCUACUCAGUCCUAUGUUAUAGAUUUCACCAUAGUAACCAACAACCCAACAAACACACCACAAAAAAAGAUUACAUCGGAUAGAACUCCAAGAAGAUCGGGGAGAACAUUGUAUUGAAGAUCAAAGAGAGAAAAGAAUCCAUCUAGCUACUAGCUAUGGACCCGUAGGUCUGUGGUGAACUACUCACACACCAUCGGAAGGCAACACAGAUGAUGUAGAAGCCCUUCGUGAUCGUUUUCGCCUCCGACAGAGUAUCAAAAAAUGCCUCCAGAUGGGAUCGCGAAGAAUAGAAGCUUGCGGCGGCGGAGAAAGUGCUUCGGGUGGCUCUCUGUUAGCUUGGGAAUAUUUAUGAAUUUAUAGGCUUGGAAUUAGGUCGAACGGAGUUGCACGCCCCAUGAGCUCGUCGCUCUCUCAUAGCUCUUCUGGCCUCCUCUCAAACCUUCUAGGGUCCCUUCUGAUCCAUAAAAAAUCGUCGUAAAGUUUUAUUGUGUUUGAACUUCGUUUGGUAUUGAUUUUCUGAAAAGUCAAAAACAAGCAAAAAUAAGAACUAGCACUGGACACUGGGUUAAUAGUUUAGUCCCAAAAAAUGAUAUAAAAUAGUAUAAGAAUGCAUAUAAAGCAUCCAAAAUUGAUGAUAUAAUAGCAUGAAAUAAUAAAAAAAAUAGAUAUAUUGAAGACAUAUCAACAUUUCCAAGCUUAAGUUCUCCUCGUUUUCGAGUAGGUAAAUGACAAAAACAAUUUUUUUGUGUAUACAUGUAUUGUUUGUAGUGAGAUAUGUACAUGACAAAGAGCGAUACCAAGACCAGCAUCAGACCAAUGUACAUGACACUAGAAAGAGGUGGCACAUCUCUGAACGCAAGGUCCAUGGCAACAAGCAGACGCAAUGGAAAAGACAGAUUGUUUUGUCAUCUUUCGUAGCGCCAUCCUUUAGUAUGCCAGGGAGCAGUUAAGGAAUGAAAUCAUGCUCCGUUUUGGAUCAUAACAUUUUAAUAUGACCACAAGCUAAGCUUCCACCACACGAAAAGUGGUGAAAAUCCAAAAUUUGUUAUGUGAUGCAAUACAAUGCAAAUCUUAUGUACUUUCUCUGUAAAGAAAUAUAAAAGCGUUUAGAUCACUACUUUACACGUUUUCAUCGCAAUCUGAAGCUUUGAAUUUAGUACUACUCGUUAAUCAGCGGUGUGAUCUUAAGAAAAUGAUAUACCUCUAAAAUGAACAACUAAAAGGUCACGAGACAUAUGGUAAUCCCAAGUAAAUUGGUUGUUCUAAGGGAAAAGUGAUGAAGAGCGUUGUUCUAGGGGAAAAGUGGUGACAAGCAUGGAUUAUCUGUUUCGUNNNNNNNNNNNNNNNNNNNNNNNNNNNNNNNNNNNNNNNNNNNNNNNNNNNNNNNNNNNNNNNNNNNNNNNNNNNNNNNNNNNNNNNNNNNNNNNNNNNNNNNNNNNNNNNNNNNNNNNNNNNNNNNNNNNNNNNNNNNNNNNNNNNNNNNNNNNNNNNNNNNNNNNNNNNNNNNNNNNNNNNNNNNNNNNNNNNNNNNNNNNNNNNNNNNNNNNNNNNNNNNNNNNNNNNNNNNNNNNNNNNNNNNNNNNNNNNNNNNNNNNNNNNNNNNNNNNNNNNNNNNNNNNNNNNNNNNNNNNNCCACGGCAAGUGAUGCAAAUCCCAAUCAUGUUAUAUCAUGAUUUACAAUGCAAAUCUUCUUUGAUACUUUACACAUUGGCGUCACUAUCUUAAGCUUGGCAUUUAGUACUCCCUUCGAUUCAUAUUAGUUGUCGCUCAAGUUUCAGUGACAACUAAUAUGGAUCGGAGGGAAUACUACUAAUUCGUUGUGUGAUCUUAAUAAAACACCAUGCUUCUAAAACGAACAUGUCACGAGGCGUGUACCAAUCUUCAGAUGAAUCUGAUGUUCUACAUAAUUCAUACGUGCGGGAAGAUAAGACUGAAAGCCGCACACUUACCCGGGAUAGGAUGGGAUAUUUUUUGAGAAAUAGAUAAGGAUUAGUUCAGGUUUCUCCCAUAUAUACGAAAUGACUGGACGAUGACUAAUUAAAUGAGAGACAACAAACCACUUAUCUUCCUUUAUAUUUUUUGAGAAUUAGAUAAGGAUUGGUUCAGGUUUCUCCCGUAUAUACGAAAUGACUGGACGAUGAAUAAUUAAAUGAGAGAAAACAAACCACUUAUCUUCCUUUAUGGCGCAAUUGAUCGAGAGCCUUCCCAAAUUGCUUUUGUGGUUUUGUUGGCCACACUGCAGAUGCUUCAAACCUUUGCACAACAGUGGGCAUGUGGCUCCCUUUAAAUAGCCACAAGAACCCAUGAAAAUAGCACCUCCAAAGUUCCCAUUUAUUCCAUCUUCCUCUCAGGUCUAACCAAAACCCAACAAACCACCACCUCAGCCAUGGCAACCACCCUUGCCACCGACGUCCGCCUCUCCAUCGCGCACCAGACCCGCUUCGCCCUCCGUCUCGCCUCCACCAUCUCAUCCAACCCUAAGUCUGCUGCCAGCAAUGCCGUCUUCUCCCCGGUCUCCCUCCAUGUCGCGCUUAGCCUCCUCGCCGCUGGCGCGGGCAGUGCCACUCGGGACCAACUCGUCGCCACACUCGGGACAGGCGAGGUCGAAGGACUCCACGCGCUCGCCGAGCAGGUGGUGCAGUUCGUGCUCGCCGACGCGUCCUCCGCUGGAGGUCCGCAUGUCGCCUUCGCCAACGGUGUCUUCGUGGACGCGUCGCUGCCCCUCAAGCCAUCCUUCCAAGAGCUUGCAGUGUGCAAGUACAAGGCUGACACCCAAUCCGUGGACUUCCAAACUAAGGUGACCACCCCCCACCCGUGGGCUCGGUUCUUACCAGAAAACAAAAACAGAGUUAAAGAAUUUUUUAACGGACAUAAUUAUGUACAUUUGAGAGAAACAAUGACAUGCUUAACUAACUACUUCAGCCGCCUGUACAUGUUGGCAUGCCAUUGCUUCACUCAAAGUGCUUGUUUUGUGCUGAUGUAAUAUAGAGGUCUGUAUCAAUCUUAUACACAUUCUAGAUUUGUAAUUUAGUGGUUAUUGUAUACCAUUAUUUUUUACACUAGCAGCUUUAGCACUGUUUCCAACUUCCUAUAGGUACAUACGUUUAGUAUUUUGGCUUGGUAAUGACCAUUUAAGUUUGUAUGCUCAUAUGAAUUGUUUCUCUGUCAUCCGUCGUUGUAUGUGAUGAUUUUACUAUGUGUUUGAAAAUUUUACUAUAGAAAUGCUUUAUAAAAACGCUAGUAUGCUGCUUUGCAUUCUUAGCAUAACAAUUAUAUUUUGUUCUUUGAAAGACUUUUCUGUUUGUUUGUUCAAAGGUUGGCGGCAGCAGUACUGUCAAUCUAUUUUCAUUACGUAAUUGACCUUUGUUUAUUUCUCCAUGGCGCAGGCCGCUGAAGUUGCUACUCAAGUGAACUCAUGGGUAGAGAAAGUCACAAGCGGUCGCAUCAAGGACAUUCUCCCAUCAGGAUCUGUUGACAAUACCACUAAACUUGUUCUUGCCAAUGCCCUUUAUUUCAAAGGGGCUUGGACAGAUCAGUUUGAUUCAUCUGGAACAAAAAACGACUACUUCUACCUUCCUGAUGGGAGCUCAGUUCAAACACCAUUCAUGUCCAGCAUGGAUGACCAAUACCUUUCGUCUUCUGAUGGGUUGAAGGUACUUAAGCUUCCCUACAAGCAAGGUGGGGACAAGAGGCAGUUCUCCAUGUAUAUCCUUCUUCCAGAAGCACCAGGUGGUCUCUCAAACUUGGCCGAAAAAUUGAGUGCUGAACCAGACUUCCUGGAGCGGCAUAUCCCAAGGCAGAGGGUUGCACUUAGGCAAUUCAAGCUCCCCAAGUUCAAGAUAUCAUUUGAAACUGAAGCAUCUGAUUUGCUCAAAUGUUUGGGCCUCCAGCUUCCAUUCAGCAAUGAAGCAGAUUUUUCCGAGAUGGUGGAUUCCCCAAUGGCACACGGUCUUCGUGUCUCAUCUGUUUUCCACCAAGCGUUUGUGGAAGUGAACGAACAAGGAACUGAGGCCGCGGCAUCAACUGCCAUUAAAAUGGCCCUGCUACAGGCAAGGCCGCCCUCGGUCAUGGAUUUCAUCGCGGAUCACCCUUUCCUCUUCCUUCUCCGGGAAGACAUCUCUGGUGUGGUCCUAUUCAUGGGUCAUGUGGUCAAUCCCCUCUUAUCUUCGUAAUGUGUUUGCUCUGAAAGUGUGUGUUGUCAGUUGCCCUCAGCCAUUACAUGUAAGGGAAGGGUUUCGACAGUCAGUCAUGUUAACCAUACAAUAAAUCGAAUAAAUGGUUAUGCUAAAAUAUCCAAUAAAUUGCCUUUUAAUAAUGGCUUGCUUUGUUGUGCAAAGGAAAACCAAUUGGACUGUUUUUUCAUUAAUCAUCGCGGUACUGUGGAUUUCUCGAAGAACUACCUCAUGCCAAAAGGAAAAUCUAAGUCAUCUUGAUUAGUACUAUCCAACAUGAAUCUCAUCGUCAUUAACAUCUAUAUUUUUUCACAAAAAAACUGCCAAUGGCCACUUUUUGAGAUUGAAUAUGCUCUUCAAUUUCUCUUCUUCUUACGUUUUUCAUAUCCCCGCUUAUCUUUAGAUUCACUAACUCCUUGGUGUUGGAGCUCCCAGGGCCGAUUGUGUUGAUCGAUUUGCAGGGCCGGGCCGGCAAAAUCUGGGGCCCUGUGCAAGACUAAAAAAUGGGCCCUAUCUAACUAGAAAAAAAAGAACUAACAAGCAAUUAUAAUGCGUAUGAUAUAAUGUCUUACAUAACAAUUGGUUACAUAAAAAAUCAUACCUAUUCAACUCCUGGUUGUAUAAUAUUUAUUUGAACAACAUUAUUCUUUUAGUAUUCUUUGAAGUGAAAUCUUCAAUGAUAUCCUCGUAAUCAAUCUUCUCCCCAUGAUGACUCAAAUCUGUUUUACUGAAAAACAAGAUACAAAAGAUGAAUAAAAUAAAAUUAAAGUGAUAGGGCAGCUGUCAACAGAUAUCAAUUAGAGAUUAUGCGCCAAUGUUUGGCAAUUGGACGAACCAUCUAACUCACCUAGUCUUGUGUCCUGUCUAGAUGAACUGCUAUACUAUGAUCUUUAAUCAAGGAGGCAAGAACUCAUCUCCAACGAAGUAACCAUCUCUGCCAAAAAGUUAAUUAGGAUUUAGGACUUAGGUGUAGAAAUGUAGGAUCUAAAGUUAAUCAGGAGGGCAAGCCAGUGGCAGCUGGCAGGAGUAGUUAAACACUUAAACUAGGGCCUGGACCAUGCAAGUACUGAUGGAUUCUCUAACUCUUGCCGAUAUCAAAUCAAGACGGGGAACCCUCCACGACUGAUGCUACACAUGCUGACACAUGACUAGCAAGGGUAGAGGAACAUGAUUUGUUGAUCUACCUGUUAUGGCGAUGGCGAGAGGAAUAUCUUCAUCAGAGUUCAGACGAAGUUAAUCGGAACUCGGAAGGCUCGUUGGCCUGCCUGUCGUCGUGUCGCCCGCCGCCUCCUCUGGACGCGAUGCGAUCAAUUUUGAUCUGGUCUGGAUGCACCCUCUCAUCUGCCAAUUUCCUCUGGAUGCGAUCGAGGGGGAUCCCGUUCUGUUCUGAUCGAGGCAUCCCAUCGAGCAGCGGCCUCACGCGGAGUCGCGCGGAAGCGCCAGGCUCCACCGGCCCAGUGCCAAGAGCGGCCCAGCACCCAGGAGAAAAUAUACCUAGGCCUAUAUAAAAAUUUUGGAGCCCCUAAAAAUUAUGGGCCCUGUGCGGGCCACACACUCUGUAGACCUAUGGGCCCGGCCCUGCCAUAAAUAUGUACAGCAAAGGUCGAAACAAUUUAUUAAAAAAUGUGUGUGUGUUUUUCAUUCUUCCGCAAUACAAUAAGAAGUCCAUGCCUAAAGCUCUUUCCUCCUUGCUGAGUAUAUUGAUUAUUAGAAAGUAUAGAAUAUACUAGGAUUUGAUCCUGCCUUGUCUUGUACUUCAAAUUGAUCCUUGUACUCCUAUAUAUAUGUCCACGGGGCUCAAGCAAUAUGACGAACUAUUUCAUCAAACUCGUCUCUCCCUUCUAAUAUGGUAUCAGCCUAAUCGAUAACAAACCCUAACCGCCGCCGCUUUCGCACCCGCGCACCGCCCUCGGGGCGGUUGGCCUCCAUGACCGCUGCCGGGGCCGCGCCGCCCGUACCUAGGGUUCGUCUGCCGGUCGUGUUGACCGACUGCCUUAGAGAGUCUUUUUCCCGAGCACUUGCUUUGUUUUUCUUUUUCACUUCCUCGCCGAUGGUUCCUCGCCGAUGGUUCCAAUCGGUGUUUUUUUUUGUCUUCCGAUCUACGAUCGGUUUGCAUCGACCUCCGCACGCCUCUACUCCAACAUCGGCACAACUACGCAGCUUCUUCUCCGACACGAGGGUCUGGCACGACAUGCAGCAGCCCGGAACGGCCGCGGUCCGCGCAUCGGUCGACGUGCACAGCACCUGGGUCGCGCUGUAUGGCGCUGGUGACCAAGCUAGCCAUGCAAGGCACGGCCAAUGUGUUGCACUAGUACACGCCACACGGGACGCAUCAUCCUCCGAGAAAAAGAUGCACCUGGUUGCAAUCGAGCUGGAUGGAGACGACGUGGAAGGAGGAUCCCGAUCCAAUCAAGGUGACGAUGGUUGGCGCAGAACGACGCGAGCGACCGAUGCACGGACGGCGGCCGUUCCGGGCUGCACCGACCAUUGCGCCACCGCUGCGUCGCUUCCUCGGGCCGUAGCGAGCGUGGCACGCGGUCACGCUGCCGUUCUGAGUCGUUCCCGCGGUUGCAUCGACCCGGGUUUCGUUGCUGCGCCGCCUCCCCGGGCCGUCGCGCAGCGAUCCGUGGUCACCGCCGCCGCCCUGAGGUCUUUCCGUUGUCGCCCUGAUAUGCCUGCCGUCGCAGCGUCGCUCUUCGGAUCGUCGUAGUGUCACGGUCCGCGGUCCACUUCACCGUCCCCGCGCUUCGACUUCCUGUGGUAUGUGUCGCGCCAUCUCCCUUGGCGCGGGAACGCCACCGUCCGCGCUGGUCUUCGUCAUGAUGUUGGGUUCUUCGCCUCCUUCGAGCAUCGCUGUCGCGCUCCUACCUAGCUGCCAUCGUCGCUGCUCUUCGGUCGCCGCCGCCGCAGCCGCCUGUCCACCCCCUUCGUCUUCGUCCAGCACCAGCCCGUCGCCAGCGUCACCGUCAUCUACCUCGACCACUUCGUCUACUCCGACAAUCGCGAGCGACAUCGGCCCCGUGUCGAUUGGCACCGCAACCGUCGUCGAGUCCUUCUCUGCUGGCUUCUCUGACUUUUUCGACAUGGCGUACAGCUGGUGCAGGUCCCAUUCUAUGCAUGCCUGGUGCUGGCAACACCGAAGCAUGCCUUCGUCCACGACGUGUCCCCGGACCUGUCAAGUCUUGUGCGGCGCUUCGUCAACUUCGUCUUCGUCCGUCUACGUAUGCCCGGUGCUGGCAACACCGGUGCGUGCCUUCGUCUACGAUGUGCCCCGGGCUUGGCAAACCCGCUGCGAAGCGUCAUCGACAAUAUCUUCUUCCCGGCGCACCACUACUUCGACACCACUGGGCCCAUGACUAACUCGACGCCUCUUUGCGCCCGCAGCUCCACGGUGACUUCCUCAACACCGGCCACCCCGACUCGACAUCGACCACGGCAUUCUUCGCAGGGCUACCUUGACCAUGGCUCUACCACCCACGCUCUCGGCUACCUCGACAAAUGAUACGUCUCCAACGUAUCUAUAAUUUUUGAUUGUUCCAUGCUAUUAUAUUAUCUGUUUUGGAUGUUUAAUGGGCUUUGUUAUGCACUUUUAUAUUAUUUUUGGGACUAACCUACUAAUCAAAGACCCAGUGCAAAUUGCUGCUUUUUUGCCUAUUUCAGUGUUUCACAGAAAAGGAAUAUCAAACGGAAUCUGUUGGGGAUAUAACUAUUGAGCAUAAACCGCCCUGGAGGGGCCGGGUUAUGCCCAUAGUGAAGCACCUGUAUUGAAGCCCAUGAAGACAAAAAGGAUGGUGCUUUAGUAAAGAAACGUAAUAACAAGACUCAGGGCCCAGGGACGGGUUAGAGCCCAUAAAUGUAAACCGCCAUAAGGUGUAUGACUUGUAUUGUACGUUAGGAAAGAGUAGAUAUCGAGUCGGGCAUGAUUAUGAGCCGGCCGGGAUUCUGUAAACCGACUGAGCAUCAACCUGUGUAUAUAAAGGGACGACCGGGCGGCGGUUUAGGGACAAGAAACAAGAGGUCGAGAGCCGGGUCAAGCGUAUUCGCUCCCCGUUCAUCGAAACCCUAUCAAUUCCAAUCACAACUGGACUAGGCUUUUACCUUCAUCGUAAGGGGCCGAACCGGUAUAAACUCCUCGUGUCCUUUGUCCUGAUUAACCCCUUUAAGUUAACCUCAACACGAUGGCUCCACGACUAAGUCCUCACACUAGGACAUCUGCCGUGACAAUUCCACGACAGUUGGCGCCCACCGUGGGGCUAUCGCACGAUGGUUUCGAGUUCUUAAAGGGCAGCUUCAAAGGGAUCAAGGGAUACGCCAUGGGCCGAGUAACCAAGAGUCCCCGCGGCAAGCUCUACAUCGACAACGCAGGCUGGGGCCCCGAGGCCGGCUCCAUUGAGUACGGGUACCGGGUCCCCUUUGGUGGAAUUCACGUCUUCAUCGGUAGAUCAGCGAACCGGGCCCUGAGCCGGACAUCUGCACCAACAUCAUCGAGACGGCUCAGUGCGCGAGAUCCGCCCUGGUUCAGCCUCCCAUGAAGCGUGCCUUCGUGGGAGUCAUCCACGGGGCAGAAUCUGAGGAUUGAUCGGUGUCUGGUGGUGAAACCGUCGUUUACUCCGAUGGCGAGUCAUCUACUGGAGAAAUCGAGUCAUUGUACCAGCUGCAAGACGGCCAGCUUGGGGGCUAUUCCGAUGGCGACAGUAUUCCGGAUCCCCACGAGCCACUGAACCGAGUUGCAAUCUUCAUGGCUGGUACACAACCAUGGAAGAAUUCUUCAACUGCGGCGGUGUUAAUCUCCGAAUCAGCGGCGGCAAUGGUGGCCGGGGCAGGAGGCCCUGCGCGCCCGCCGGCUCAAGUCUUGUCUGGUUUACUUGACACUUUAGCAACACUGAUGACGACCGAGGUUAGCGCGGCAAACCGGGAUGAGCAUAAUGCGGAAAUUGCCAAGGUGAGACCAGAUAACUCAAGCCAGGGAAUACCUGGUAGCCGAAGACGUAAGAAUGGCCACGAUGCGGGCCGAGUUAGAGGCUCAGACGCAGUGGGUUCAAUCGGAGUCUUUUUGGCUUAUGCUGGAUCAGAAUGCAUCGAAUGAUGUCAUGAGGAGAAGGCAUCAGACAGCCUACCUUCAGUUUACUAGGCGAGAAACCUCGUCAACACGCCCGAAGCAGGGACCAGUAACCAGCCAGUGGUAAACCGGACUGAAGUACCAGGAACAGGGGCGCCUGUUCAACCGUGCACGAUGGACCCGCCUCAUCAAGGCAAUAACCCACCGCAACAUAUACCGAUGUCAUAGCAUGUGCCGACGCCGCCGGGUCAUUACUCUAACCCCUUAGAUAACAUGGUCGCCGCCGCUUCACGAUUGGCGGCUCUCCCAGUCGAAGGCGAGUCCCCAGUAGUAGUUGAGACGCGGCGGGAUAGAGAGCUUCUUCAGAUAGCCUUGGCUCAGCAGCAGGCUUAUUCGUACAGCCGUGAGAGGAUUCAUUCCACCCCCCGCCCAAGCAGGAGUUACAUCAGACAUAUUGAUGAGCCGGCCGUGUCAAGCAGUGCGCGGAAUCGUAAUUCGCCUCGUGGCCAUAGCCCGGCAAGCGGUGGGGCCGAUGCUCAGAACGUGAUGGACCAAGGUAGAGCACGUCGAGAGGCCGAGCUAGCGGCGCAAUACGCGGUCCGUCAACCUUCUCCGGUUCAUCCAACGGCUUCAAUCGAGAUAGGUGUAACUUUCAGGUCUUUGUGUCCGCUGUGUUUGGCCCCGGCUUUGCGUAACGUAAGGUUGCCCAAGGAUUUCAAAGGUCCCCAUAAGGUACCCAACUACACGGCUGAUUUACCUCCUGAAGCGUGGAUUGAGAGUUAUGAGAUGGCGAUGGAACUGCUGGAUGUUGAUGAGGCCGCAUAUGCUAAGUAUUUCACCAUGAUGUUAGAAGGAACGACUCGUACUUGGUUGAAGGGAUUACCGACUAACUCCGUUGGGUCAUGGGCCGAGUUAAAAUCCUGAUUUAUCCAGAAUUUCAAGGACACGUGCAAGCAGUCCAUGUCAAUUAUGGAUUUGGCAUCCUAUGUCCAGGAAGAAGGUGAGUCGACAACCCACUGGGUGCGCCGGGUUUCAACGAUCCUGCACUCGUUAGACCGGAUCAAUGCGGACUCAGCAGUCUUGACGUUGGAGAAAAAUUGCCGUUUUACGCCCCUCAAGCAAAAAUUAGGGUGGCUCAAACGUCACUGCAAUGACAUGGGGACACUCAUGGCUGCUCUGGUUAAGUACACUGACUCUGAUAGUACCAAAGACCCCGAGUCUGAUGAUGACAAACCGGGAAAGGGAAAGAAGAACAACAACACCAGAGGGCAGCAGCAUAACCCGACGGCGAGUCAAGGUGGUAACGGUAAGCGCAAAGCUGAUAAUAGUUUGGACUUUGUGGCAAAUACCAAUGCACAGAAUAAUGGCCAGGGUCGUAAGGUUAGACCGCCCCCACAGACCGGAGGAUCAGGCAUGAAUAUUGAGCAUCUGUUAAAUCAGCCCUGUGUGAGGCAUGGUACACAUCAAAGACCGUCUACUCAUCUCUGGAAAGAUUGUUACAUCAUGAAGGAGUUCAAGAAUUCAAAUCUUUUUCAAAGCAACCAUGGACCAAGAGGCAGUCCAGGAUCCGGUUCACAGGGUCCGGGUUACGAUGGUGGCGGUUCAGGUUCUAGGUUCCAAGGUCAUCAAGGCAGUCAAGGCAAUCAAGGCGGCUACCAUCAACAGUCUGGUUAGGGGAGUCAGCAGCAGCAGUCUGGAUAUCAGAGUAACCCGAAACAGUUGAAUAGUGGGCAGUAUCAUGUCUUCACCACAGUUUUGUGCAAGUGGGAUCAGAAACUUCAUAAAAGGGCAGUAAAACUCCGUUGAACCAGUAGUGCCUCGUUACUUGCGCUGGUCUGAGCAGCCCAUUGUGUGGAGUCGAGAGGAUCAAGAGGAUCACCCACCCCAGGUUGAUAAUCUGGGUCAUCUGGCAUUGGUGGUUGCACCUUAGGUUGGAGGGUAUAAGUUCAGCAAGGUGCUCAUGGACGGAGGGAGCAGCAUCAAUAUCCUUUAUUAUGAAACCUUCCGUUGUAUGGGGUCGACAGAUAAAAAUCUUAAACCGUCAAACAAUGUUUUUCAUGGUGUGGUGCCUGGUAAGUUGGCGUAUCCGGUUGGUAAGAUAGCUUUGGAAGUUGCUUUUGGAGAUGAUCAUGACUCUAGAUCAGAGACAUUGACCUUUGAGGUGGUGAAAAUCAAGAGCCCUUAUCAUGCCCUGUUUGGGCGGCCGGCUUAUGCUAAGUUCAUGGCAAGGCCCUGUUAUGUUUAUCUACAGCUCAAGAUGUCGGGUCAUAAGGGGACCAUCAUGGUACAUGGGAGCCGGAAGAUAGCUUUGGAGUGCGAAGAAGGUGAUGCGGCUUAUGCUGAGUCGGUUUGUGCAACGAAGGAGUUGAAGUUUUAUAAGGACAAUGUUGAUCCGGCGGACAUGACUUCUUUGAAAAAAACCACUACAGAGCAUGAUCCAGCCCUGAAGUUUAAAUCGGCUGAUGAGACUAAGCUAGUUGACUUUGUUCUUGGUGAUUCAUCCAAGCAGUUCAGCAUCAGCGUUAAUUUGGAUCCAAAAUAGGAAAGCACGCUCAUCGAGUUCAUCCGUGAGAACCGGGAUAUCUUUGCAUGGAAGCCUUCUAACAUGCCAGGUGUACCGAGGGAACUCGCUGAGCACACUCUUAAUAUUGAUCCUAGGUUUAAACCGGUCAAGCAGUUUCUUCGGCGUUUUAACGAAGAAAGGCGCAAGGCCAUUUGUGAGGAGGUAGACUGGCUCUUGGCGGUUGGGUUUAUUAUCGAGGUUUUUCAUCCCGAGUGGUUGGCUAACCUGGUGCUGGUACUUAAGAAAAAUGGCACUUGGCGCAUGUGUGUGGACUACACAGAUUUGAACAAGUCUUGUCCAGCUGACCCUUUUGCUCUCUCUCGUAUUGAUCAGAUCAUUGAUGCUACGGCGGGUUGUGAACGGUUGAGUUUUUUGGAUGCUUAUUUGGGUUAUCAUCAGAUCAAGAUGGCACUUAAGGACCAGGAGAAAACCGCUUUUAUAACUCCCUUUGGAGCCUUCUGCUAUGUGUCUAUGCCUUUUGGGCUCAAGAGUGCCCAGGCGAUGUACCAACGAUGUGUGCAGAAUUGUCUUCAUACUCAGAUUGGGCGCAAUGUUCAUGCUUAUGUGGAUGAUAUCGUGGUGAAGUCUAGAAUGAAGGAAACAUUGAUAGAUGAUUUGAAGGAAACCUUUGAUAAUCUCCGGGUUUAUAACAUGAUGCUUAACCCGGCCAAGUGUGUCUUUGGUGUACUGAUACGUCUCUGUUGUAUCUGCUUUUCCAAACACUUUUGCCCUUGUUUUGGACUCUAACUUGCAUGAUUUGAAUGGAACUAAUUCGGACUGACGCUGUUUUCAGCAGAAUUACCAUGGUGUUAUUUAUGUGCAGAAACAAAAGUUCUCGGAAUGACCUGAAACUUCACGGAACAUCUUUUUGGAAAUAAUAAAAAAUCCUUGCAAAAGAUGAAGACCAGGGGGGCCACACCCUAGCCACGAGGGUGGGGGGCGCGCCCCCUACCUCGUGGGCCCCCUGGAGCUCCUCCGACCUCAACUCCAACUCUAUAUAUUUGCUUUCGGGGAGAAAAAAUGAGGGAGAAGGAUUCAUCACGUUUUACGAUACGGAGCCGCCACCAAGCCCUAAAACCUCUCGGGAGGGCUGAUCUGGAGUCCGUUCGGGGCACCGGAGAGGGGAAUCCAUCGCCAUCGUCAUCAUCAACCAUCCUUCAUCACCAAUUUCAUGAUGUUCACCGCCGUGCGUGAGUAAUUCCAUCGUAGGCUUGCUGGACGGUGAUGGGUUGGAUGAGAUUUAUCAUGUAAUCGAGUUAGUUUUGUUAGGGUUUGAUCCCUAGUAUCCACUAUGUUCUGAGAUUGAUGUUGCUAUGACUUUGCUAUGCUUAAUGCUUGUCACUAGGGCCCGAGUGCCAUGAUUUCAGAUCUGAACCUAUUAUGUUUUCAUCAAUAUAUGAGAGUUCUUGAUCCUAUCUUGCAAGUCUAUAGUCACCUACUGUGUGUUAUGAUCCGGCAACCCCGAAGUGACAAUAAUCGGGACCACUCCCGGUGAUGAUCGUAGUUUGAGGAGUACAUGUAUUCACUAUGUGUUAAUGCUUUGGUCCGGUACUCUAUUAAAAAGAGGCCUUAAUAUCCCUUAGUUUCCGCUAGGACCCCGCUGCCACGGGAGGGUAGGACAAAAGAUGCCAUGCAAGUUCUUUUCCAUAAGCACGUAUGACUAUAUUCGGAAUACAUGCCUACAUUACAUUGAUGAAUUGGAGCUAGUUCUGUGUCACCCUAUGUUAUGACUGUUACAUGAUGAACCGCAUCUGGCAUAAUUCUCUAUCACCGAUCCAUUGCCUACGAGCUUUCCAUAUAUUGUUCUUUGCUUAUUUACUUUUCCAUUGCUAUUGUUACAAUCACUACAAAAUACCAAAAACAUUACUUUUGCUAUCAUUACCUUUUGCUACCGUUACCACUACUAUCAUAUUACUUUGCUACUAAACACUUUGCUGUAGAUAUUAAGUUUCCAGGUGUGGUUGAAUUGACAACUCAGCUGCUAAUACUUGAGAAUAUUCUUUGGCUCUCCUUGUGUCGAAUCAAUAAAUUUGGGUUGAAUACUCUACCCUCGAAAACUGUUGCGAUCCCCUAUACUUGUGGGGUAUCAAGACUAUUUUCUGGCGCCGUUGCCGGGGAGCAUAACUCUAUUCUUUGAGUCACUUGGGAUUUAUAUCUGCUUAUCAUUAUGAAGAAAUUGAGAGAUCCAAAAACCAAGAUUUAUCCCUCAACUACGAGGGGAGGUAAGGAACUGCCAUCUAGCUCUGCACUUGAUUCACCUUCUGUUUUGAGUAAGCUUGCGACACCUAAACCUGCUUCUGCUAUUGAUUCUGAUAUGUCGCAUGUUAUUGAUGAUGCCACUUCUGCUAUGCAUGAUACUUAUGAUGAAACUGCUUCUAUGCUUGAUACUACUAUGCCACUUGGUGAAUUUCUUGAUGAACAACUUGCUAGGGUUAGAGAGAAUGAAAUUAUUGAAACUGAUAAUAUUGAUAAAAGUGAUGAUGAAGACUCUCCCCCUAAUAAAUAUGAAUUGCCUGUUGUGCCUGAGGGCUAUGUUAUGGAAGCAGAAAUUGCUAAAGCUAUUUUUGCUUGCAAGGAUAGAUAUGAUCUUAAGAAGUUAUUAGCUAAAUGGAAGCAGCAAUCUCUUAAUGCUAGAAUGAAACCUGACCCUGCUUUUGCUACUCCACCUAUCUGUGUUACUGGUAAGGAUUAUGAAUUCUGUGUUGAUCCUGAUAUAGUUACUUUGGUUGAAUCUGAUCCUUUUUAUGGCUAUGAAUCUGGAACUGUCGUGGCACAUCUUACUAAAUUAAAUGAUAUAGCCACCCUGUUCACUAAUGAUAAGAAAUCUCGCUACCUUUAUAUCCUCAAAAUAUUUCCGUUCUCAUUAAAGGGUGAUGCUAAGAUAUGGUUUAAUUCUCUGGAUCUUGGUUGUGUGCGUAGUCCCCAGGAUAUGAUUUAUUACUUCUCUGCUAAAUAUUUCCCUGCUCAUAAGAAACAAGCUGCUUUGAGGGAUAUACAUAAUUUUGUGCAAAUUGAAGAAGAGAGUACAUACAUCAAGUGGCACGUGGUAUCCCAUUGUCACCACAGAUAUCCACGGCAAGACAUACAUCAAGUGUUCUCAAGUCUUUAAAGACUCAAUCCGAUAGGACAACUCCAAAGGGGAAACUCAAUUCAUUACAAGAGAGUAGUGGGGGAAGAAACAUCAUAGGAUCCAAAUAUAAUAGCAAAGCUCGCAAUACAUCAAGAUCGUAUCACCUCAAGAACACGAGAGAGAGAGAGAGAGAGAGAGAGAGAUCAAACACAUAGCUACUGGUACAUACCCUCAGUCCCGAGGGAGAACUACUCCCUCCUCGUCAUGGAGAGCACCGGGAUGAUGAAGAUGGCCACCGGAGAAGUAUUCCCCCCUCCGACAGGGUGCCGGAACGGGUCUAGAUUGGUUUUCGAUGGCUACGGAGGCUUCUGGCGGCGGAACUCCCGAUCUAUCUUGCGUUCUAGAAGUUUUAGGGUAUAUGGAGUUAUAUAGGCAGAAGAAGCACGUCAGGGGAGCCACGAGGGCCCCACGAGACAGGGGGGCGUGCCCUAGGGGGGCACGCCCCCACCCUCGUGAGCACCUCGUUCGUUCCUUGACGUGGGGUCCAAGUCCAUCAGGUGUGUUUCCUUCCAAAAAUAACUUCUCUAGUUGAUUUCGUUCCGUUUCGACUCCGUCUGAUAUUCCUUUUCUUCAAAACACUGAAAUAGGCAUAAAACAGCAAAUCUGGGCUGGGCCUCCGGUUAAUAGGUUAGUCCCAAAAGUAAUAUAAAAGUGGAUAAUAAAGCCCAAUAUUGCCUUAAACAGUAGAUAAUAUAUCAUGGAGCAAUCAAAAAUUAUAGAUACGUUGGAGAUGUAUCAAGCAUCCCCAAGCUUAAUUCCUGCUCGUCCUCGAGUAGGUAAAUGAUAAAAAAGAUAAUUUUUGAUGUGUAAUGCUUGCUGACAUAAUUUCAAUGUAAUUCUUCUUACUUGUGAUAUGAAUAUUCAGAUCCAUAAGAUUCAAGACAAAAGUUCAUAUUGACAUAGAAAUAAUAAUACUUCAAGCAUACUAACUAAGCAAUCAUGUCUUCUCAAAAUAACAUGGCCAAAGAAAGUUAUCCCUACAAAAUCAUAUAGUCUGGCUAUGCUCCAUCUUCACCACACAAAAAUAUUUAAAUCAUGCACAACCCCGAUGACAAGCCAAGCAAUUGUUUCAUACUUUUGAUGUUCUCAAACCUUUUCAAUCUUCACGCAAUAUAUGAGCGUGAGCCAUGGACAUAGCACUAUAGGUGGAAUAGAAUGGUGGUUGUGGAGAAGACAAAAAGGAGAAGAUAGUCUCACAUCAACUAGGCGUAUCAACGGGCUAUGGAGAUGCCCAUUAAUAGAUAUCAAUGUGAGUGAGUAGGGAUUGCCAUGCAACGGAUGCACUAGAGCUAUAAGUGUAUGAAAGCUCAACAAAAGAAACUAGUGGGUGUGCAUCCAACUCGCUUGCUCACGAAGACCUAGGGCAUUUUGAAGAAGCCCAUCAUUGGAAUAUACAAGCCAAGUUCUAUAAUGAAAGAUUCCCACUAGUAUAUGAAAGUGACAACAUAGGAGACUCUCUAUCAUGAAGAUGAUGGUGCUACUUUGAAGCACAAGUGUGGUAAAAGGAUAGUAGCAUUGUCCCCUUUUUUAUUUUUUAUUUUUUAUUUGGCCUUCCCUUUUUUAUUUGGCCUUUAUUUUUUUGCCUUUCUUUUUUUAUGGCCUUUCUCUUUUUUGGGACAAUGCUCUAUUGAAUGAUGAUCAUCACACUUCUAUUUUUUUACAACUCAAUGAUACAACUCGAUACUAGAACAAAGAUGACUCUAUAUGAAUGCCUCCGGCGGUGUACCGGGAUAUGCAAUGAAUCAAGAGUGACAAGUAUGAAAAAAUUAUGAACGGUGGCUUUGCCACAAAUACAAUGUCAACUACAUGAUCAUGCUAAGCAGUAUGACAAUGAUGGAGUGUGUCAUAAUAAAUGGAACGGUGGAAAGUUGCAUGGCAAUAUAUCUCGGAAUGGCUAUGGAAACGCCAUAAUAGGUAGGUAUGGUGGCUGUUUUGAGGAAGGUAUAUGGUGGGUGUAUGAUACCGGUGAAAGGUGCGCGGUAUUUAGAGAGGCUAGCAAAGGUGGAAGGGUGAGAGUGCGUAUAAUCCAUGGACUCAACAUUAGUCAUAAAGAACUCAUAUACUUAUUGCAAAAAUCUAGAAGUUAUCAAAGCAAAGUAUUACGUACAUGCUCCUAGGGGGAUAGAUUGGUAGGAAAACACCAUCGCUCGUCCCCGACCGCCACUCAUAAGGAAGACAAUCAAUAAAUAAAUCAUGCUCCGACUUCGUCACAUAACGGUUCACCAUACGUGCAUGCUACGGGAAUCACAAACUUCAACACAAGUAUUUCUCAAAUUCACAACUACUCAACUAGCAUGACUCUAAUAUCACCAUCUCCAUAUCUCAAAACAAUUAUCAAGUAUCAAACUUCUCAUAGUAUUCAACACACUCAUAAGAGAAUUUUAUUAUUCUUGAAUACCUAGCAUAUUAGGAUUUUAAGCAAAUUACCAUGCUAUUUAAGACUCUCAAAAUAAUAUAAGUGAAGCAUGAGAGUUCAUCUAUUUCUUCAAAAUAAAACUACCACCAUGCUCUAAAAGAUAUAAGUGAAGCACUAGAGUAAAUGACAAACUACUCCGAAAGAUAUAAGGGAAGAUCAAUGAGUAGUCGAAUAAUUAUGCAACUAUGUGAAGACUCUCUAACAUUUAAUAAUUUCAGAUCUUGGUAUUUUAUUCAAACAGCAAGCAAAGUAAAAUAAAAUGACAUUCUAAGAAUGGCAAACAUCAUGUGAAGAAGCAAAACUUAGGAUCAACCGAUACUAACCGAUAAUUGUUGAAGAAGAAAGGUGGGAUGCCAACUGGGGCAUCCCCAAGCUUAGACGCUUGAGACUUCUUGAAAUAUUAUCUUGGGGUGCCUUGGGCAUCCCCAAGAUUGAGAUUUUGUGUCUCCUUAAUUCCUCUCAUAUCACGGUCUCCCUAAAUCUCAAAAGCUUCAUCCACACAAAACUCAACAAGGACUCGUGAGAUAAGUUAGUAUAAACCAUUGCCAAAACCUUAUCAUACUCUACUGUAGAAAAUCACUAAAAUUAUUAUUAAACAUUGCAUACUAAAUGCCUCUGCAUAUUUAAUAGUCCUAUCCUCAAAUAGAAUCAUUAAAGAAGCAAAGAUAUGCAAACAAUGCAAACAUAACAGCAAUCUGCCUAAACAGGAUAGUCUGUAAAGAAUGCUGCAACAUCCAUACUUCCCUAACUCCAAAAAUUAUGAAAGAAAAUUCCCACUGUAGUAAAUUUAUCAGAGCUUAAUAUGCAAAAGGUUUCAACAUUUUAUCACAUUCUGACUUUUCUAGGGAAUUAUUGCAACAGCGGUAAACUUUCUGUUUUCAAACAGCAACAUGUAUACUUGUAACAUAGGCAUAGUAAAGGCUAUCAAUGCCACUUUUAUUAGAAUAAAAGAUGCAGAACAUUGUUCUAAAUAACAGAAAGAAAAUCCUAACAAAAUAAAUUGACGCUCCAAGCAAAACACAUAUCAUGUGGCGAAUAAAAAUAUAGCUCCAAGUAAAGUUACCGAUGAACGAAGACGAAAGAGGGGAUGCCUGCAAGCUUAGGCUCUUGGCUAUCCUUGAAUAUUACCUUGGGGUGCCUUGGGAAUCCCCAAGCUUAGGCUUUUUCCACUCCUUAUUCCAUAGUCCAUCGAAUCCUUACCCAAAACUUGAAAACUUCACAACACAAAACUUAACAGAAAACUCGUAAGCUCCGUUAGUAUAAGAAAGUAAAUCACCACUUCCAAGUACUGUAAUGAACUCAUUCUUUAUUUAUAUUGGUGUUAAACCUACUGUAUUCAAAUCUUCUCUAUGGUUUAUAAACUAUUUUACUAGCCAUAGAUUCAUCAAAAUAAGUAAACAACACAUGAAAGACAGAAUCUGUCAAAAACAGAACAGUCUGUAGUAAUCUGGAUCAAACAUAUACUUCUGGAACUCAUAAAAUUCUCAAAUAAUUGCUGGACCUGCGGAAUUUAUCUAUUAAUCAUCUGCAAAAAUAAUUAACUAAAUAUAACUCUCCAAAUAAAAAUGGCAGCAAUUCUCGUGAGCGGUAAAGUUUCUGUUUUUGACAGCAUGAUCAACAAGACUUUCCCAAAGUCUUCCCAAAGGUUCUAAUUGGCACAAAUACUAAUUAAACACAUAAAACCACAUCUAAACAGAGGCUAGAUUAAUUAUUUAUUACUAAAUAGGAACAAAAAGCAAGGAACUAAAAUAAAAUUGGGUUGCCUCCCAACAAGCGCUAUCGUUUAACGCCCCUAGCUAGGCAUGAUGAUUUCAAUGAUGCUCACAUAAAAGAUAAGAAUUGUAACAUAAAGAGAGCAUCAUGAAGAAUAUGACUAGCACAUUUAAGUCUAACAUACUUCCUAUGCAUAGGGAUUUUGUGAGCAAACAACUUAUGGGAGCAAUAAUCAACUUGCAUAGGAAGGUAAAACAAGCAUAGCUUCAAAACUUUAAGCACAUAGAGAGGAAACUUGAUAUUAUUGCAAUUCCUACAAGCAUAUAUUCCUCCCUCAUAAUAAUUUUCAGUAGCAUCAUGAAUGAAUUCAACAAUAUAACCAGAACCUAAAGCAUUCUUUUCAUGAUCUACAAGCAUAGAAAAUUUACUACUCUCCACAUAAGCAAAAUUCUUCUCAUGAACAAUGGUGGGAGCAAACUCAAAAAGAUAACUAUCAUGUGAUUGAAAAUUAAGAUCAAGAUGACAAGUUUCAUGGUUAUCAUUGUUCUUUAUAGCAUAUGUGUCAUCACAAUAAUCAUCGUAGAUAGUAGGCAUGCUUUCAUCAUAGUAAAUUUGCUCAUCAAAGCUUGGGGGACAAAAAAUAUCAUCUUCAUCAAACAUAGCUUCCCCAAGCUUGUGGCUUUGCAUAUCAUUAGCAUCAUGGAUAUUCAAGGAAUUCAUACUAAAAACAUUGCAAUCACGCUCAUCAUUCAAUAUUUAGUGCCAAACAUUUUAUAGAUUUCUUCUUCUAGCACUUGAGCACAAUUAUCCUUUCCAUCAUACUCACGAAAGAUAUUAAAAAGGUGAAGCGUAUGAGACAAACUUAAUUCCAUUUUUUAUAGUUUUCUUUUAUAAACUAAACUAGUGAUAACACAAGAAACUAAAAGACUCUAUUGCAAGAUCUAAAGAUAUACCUUCAAGUGCUAACCUCCCCGGCAACGGCGCCAGAAAAGAGCUUGAUGUCUACUACACAACCUUCUUCUUGUAGACGUUGUUGGGCCUCCAAGUGCAGAGGUUUGUAGGACAGUAGCAAAUUUCCCUCAAGUGGAUGACCUAAGGUUUAUCAAUCCGUAGGAGGCGUAGGAUGAAGAUGGUCUCUCUCAAGCAACCCUGCAACCAAAUACCAAAGAGUCUCUUGUGUCCCCAACACACCCAAUACAAUGGUAAAUUGUAUAGGUGCACUAGUUCGGUGAAGAGAUGGUGAUACAAGUGGUAUUUGGAUGGUAGAUAAAGGUAUUUGUAAUCUGAAAUUAUAAAAACAGCAAGGUAACAAGUGAUAAAAGUGAGCGUAAACGGUAUUGCAAUGCUAGGAAACAAGGCCUAGGGUUCAUACUUUCGCUAGUGUAAGUUCCCUCAACAAUACUAACAUAAUUGGAUCAUAAAACUAUCCCUCAACAUGCAACAAAGAGUCACUCCAAAUUCACUAAUAGCGGAGAACGAACGAAGAGAUUAUGGUAGGGUACGAAACCACCUCAAAGUUAUUCUUUCCAAUCAAUCCGAUGGGCUAUUCCUAUAAGUGUCACAAACAGCCCUAGAGUUCGUACUAGAAUAACACCUUAAGACACAAAUCAACCAAAACCCUAAUGUCACCUAGAUACUCCAUUGUCACCUCAAGUAUCCGUGGGCAUGAUUAUACGAUAUGCAUCACACAAUCUCAAUUCAUCUAUUCAACCAACACAUAGAACCUCAAAGAGUGCCCCAAAGUUUCUACCGGAGAAUCACGACGAAAACAUGUGCCAACCCCUAUGCAUAGGUUCAUGGGCGGAACCCGCAAGUUGGUCACCAAAACAUACAUCAAGUGGCACGUGGUAUCCCAUUGUCACCACAGAUAUCCACGGCAAGACAUACAUCAAGUGUUCUCAAGUCUUUAAAGACUCAAUCCGAUAGGACAACUCCAAAGGGGAAACUCAAUUCAUUACAAGAGAGUAGAGGGGGGAAGAAACAUCAUAGGAUCCAAAUAUAAUAGCAAAGCUCACGAUACAUCAAGAUCGUAUCACCUCAAGAACACGAGAGAGAGAGAGAGAUAAAGAGAUCAAACACAUAGCUACUGGUACAUACCCUCAGCCCCGAGGGAGAACUACUCCCUCCUCGUCAUGGAGAGCACCGGGAUGAUGAAGAUGGCCACCGGAGAAGUAUUCCCCCCUCCAGCAGGGUGCCGGAAUGUGUCUAGAUUGGUUUUCGGUGGCUACGGAGGCUUCUGGCGGCGGAACUCCCGAUCUAUCUUGCGUUCUGGAAGUUUUAGGGUAUAUGGAGUUAUAUAGGCGGAAGAAGCACGCCAGGGGAGCCACGAGGGCCCCACGAGACAGGGGGCUCGCCCUAGGGGGGGCGCCCCCACCCUCGUGAGCACCUCGUUCCUUCCUUGACGUGGGGUCCAAGUCCAUCAGGUCUGUUUCCUUCCAAAAAUAACUUCUCCAGUUGAUUUCAUUCCGUUUCGACUCCGUUUGAUAUUCCUUUUCUUCAAAACACUGAAAUAGGCAUAAAAUAGCAAAUCUGGGUUGGGCCUCCGGUUAAUAGGUUAGUCCCAAAAGUAAUAUAAAAGUGGAUAAUAAAGCCCAAUAUUGCCUAAAACAGUAGAUAAUAUAGCAUGGAGCAAUCAAAAAUUAUAGAUACGUUGGAGACGUAUCAGUAAUGAACCUGAAACUAAUGGUAAUGUUCAUGAUGAUGCUCAACCUAGUAAUGAUAAUGAUAUAGAAAUUGAACCUGUUGUUGAUCUUGUUAACCCACAAUCAAAGAAUCAAUGUUAUGAUAAGGAAGACUUUGUUGCUAGGAAACACGGAAAGGAAAGAGAGCCUUGGGUUCAGAAACCCAUGCCUUUUCCUCCCAAACCAUCCAAGAAAAAGGAUGAUGAUGAUUUUGAGCGCUUUGCUGAAAUGAUUAGACAUAUCUUUUUGCGUAUGCGAUUAACUGAUAUGCUUAAAAUGAAUCCUUAUGCUAAGUACAUGAAAGAAAUUGUCACUAAUAAAAGAAAGAUACGGGAAGCUGAAAUUUCCACCAUGCUUGCUAAUUAUACUUUUAAGGGUGGCAUACCAAAGAAACAUGGAGAUCCAGGAGUACCCACUAUACCAUGCUCCAUUAAAAGAAACUAUGUUAAAAUUGCGUUAUGUGAUCUUGGAGCCGGUGUUAGUGUUAUGCCUCUUUAUAUCGUAGACUUGACUUGAAUAAGUUGACACCUACUGAAAUAUCUUUGCAAAUGGCUGAUAAAUCAACUGCUACACUUGUCGGUAUUUGUGAGGAUGUGCCUGUUGUGGUUGCAAACGUUACUAUUUUAACGGACUUUGUUAUUCUUGAUAUUCCCGAGGACGAUAGUAUGUCUAUUAUUCUUGGAAGACCCUUUUUGAAUACUAUAGGGGCUGUUACUGAUUGCAACAAAGGCAAUGUCACUUUUCAUGUCAAUGGUAAUGAGCAUAUGGUACACUUUCCGAGGAAACAACCUCAAGUCCACACUAUCAAUUCUAUUGGAAAAUUCCAUCGAUUAUUUUUGGAGGUUUUGAAUUUCCUCUUUCUACUGUCAAAAAGAAAUAUGAUAUUCUUAUUGUUGGGGAUGUGCAUAUCCCCGUUGAGGUAACCUAGUGUUAUUCGAAAAUUCUCCGGUUCCAUGUUAUUUGGAAUGAGUUUGUUGACAAGACUUGAUCAACCUUGUUAGUGGAUUCAUUUUGAUGAUCAUGAGAUGGAUGAGUUUAGAAAACACAACUCCCUGUACCCUCCUUUUACUUUCUGUUAUUGAUAUUAAAUAAAAUAAAAAUAGUAUUUUCCUGUCUGUUUUCUGAAUUACCCGUGCAAUAUAAAAAUACCCCGAAAAUAAAAGUUCUCCAAAUACCCUAAAAUUUAAAUAUGAUUUUUAAAGUAAUAUAUGAGAAUAUUUGGCACUGAGAACACAGCACGGGGGGCAUCCACCUAGCCACGAAGGUGGAGGGCGCGCCCCCUGCCUCAUGGGCCCACGGUGCCCCCCUCCACUUAUUCCUGCACCCACACGCUCCUUCUUCCUCCCACAAACACGAUUAUCCAGUUCAAACCCGAGUCCAAGCUCAUUUUGCUGCCAUUUUCGAUCUCCUUGCUCAAAGCACCUCUCACAAAACUGCUUGGGGGGGGAUUGUUCCUUGGUAUGUGACUCCUCCAUUGGUCCAAUUAGUUUUUGUUCUAGUGCUUUAUUCAUUGCAUAUUUUUGCUGCUUAGGUGACCCUGUUCUUGAGCUUGCAUGUAAAAUUUAUGUGGUUCCAGGUAGUUUUGAUGCAUGAUAUAGGCUCUAGGCACUUGUAGGAGUAGUUGCUAUCGAUUUGUUGAGCUUGGCUCACUUUUAUUUGAAGUUACUAAAAAUUUCAGAAUUUUUUCAGAGGAGGAAAUAUGUUUAGGAAAAUGUAUCAAGGUGGUUCUUCAAGGAUACAAGAACCCAGGCUUGCAAUGCGUGAUGCUGAUGAUGAGCCACCAAGGGACGUUCCAGUGCGGCCUUGUGAAUGGCCUUCAGAGGACUUCAUGGAUCGAGCGGGAAUCAAGGAAGAAUUUAACACAUAUUUGCAUAACGCUGAUCUUGUGAGCUUCGAGGCAGAAAGAUUCCACCAGUACCACUAUCUCACUAGUUCCUUUGUGAGGAGGUUUGAAUUUUCAUCUUCACGUAAUUCUCCAACUGUCAUGUUUGAUCUUUAUGAAAAAGCUUAUACGAUGGACUUAUAGGAUUUUACCACUGCUUGCAAACUUCCGCAAUGGGGUAGUGCUAGUGAACCCCGCAAAUCUGAAUUUAGAAAUUUUCUUGCUAGUAUAACUGUGGGGGAAUCUAGAGAUAUAACACAAACUACUAUAGGGAGCAUUCACUUUCCUGCUAUACAUUAUUUUGCUCUCUUCAUAGGUAGAUGCAUUAAUGGUAAAGAUGAGGCAUGUCACAUGUGUGUCCCUGACCUCAGUAUUCUUAGGAGUGUUGUGUUAGGAGAUAAAUCUUAUAAUUUGGGAGCCAUUGUUGCACGUAGGUUGCAUCUUAAUAGAUUUAAUGGAGAUUCCUUUGGUGGAAUUUAUGCAACCCGCUUAGCUGAUUUUCUUGGUGUAACCAUACGUAAUGAUGAUAUUGAAUUGCCUCCUGCUUACCUAGACUUUAAUGCUAUGGUUCACCACCAGUUUGUCGAGAGGAAUGAAUCACCUCUCCAGUAUCGCUUAAUCUUUGACAGACGUCGUGUUGUCCGUAUUACUCUCCCUGCUCCUGCCUUCUUUGAUUAUCAGGCAAAAGGAAGACAUUUUAUUACCAGAGAGGAGGCAGAUGAGUACGAGAGGAGGGCGGAGGCAGCUCGCCGCCAUACUGCAGCUCAGGAGGCGGUAGCCGCUGCAUCUCAGUACAACCCCAGCUACAACUAUGGAUAUCCGCCAGGCCACCCGUGGCAAUGAACCAACUUAGGCCAAAAGCCUAAGCUUGGAGGAGUACGUAUUUCUCACCGACAUUAUGUUUAUGUUCACACACUCAUUGUUAGAUGUCGGUGCUCAUACUUUUUCAUUGUAUCAUCCAUGCCAGUUUGUUUCCUUUUUUAUGCUUUCUUCUUGUGUGCUUAAUAAACCUUAAGAAAAACCAAAAAAAUUUAGUUGUAGCUUUUAGCUAGUUUUAAUUUCCAUGCUUGUAGUAGUAAUUAAAAAGAAAACCCCAAAAGAUUUCAUGUUCUUCUUUUUACUUGUUGGGAGCUCUCCCGUGUAAAUAGUUUUAUUUCUUUUCUUUUAUUUGGGGGUUGAUAGGAGAAGACCAUGAUUAAAUUGUUGAAGUGGCUCUUAUAUGCAUUAUUGUUGAUUUAACCAAGAGCCCAUAUUGCCUUGUCUUCUCCUAUUUAUUGAAUGCUUGUAGAUUCCAGCUUAGUCCAAUGCACGUGCACUAUUAUUAUUAUCCACAUUGUUCGGUCGUGCAAGUGAAAGGCAAUUAUGACGAUAUAUGAUGGACUGACUGAGAUGAGAAAAGCUGGUAUGGACUCGACCUCUCUUGUUUUUGUAAAUAUGAUUAGUUCAUCAUUCCUGAUUCAGCCUAUUAUGAAUAAACAUGUUUGCAAUGACAACUAGAGAUGAUAGUUUCUUGUGCCAUGCUUGAUUAGCUAGGAGCUUAUAAUGGUUUACCUUGUGUGCCAACAUGCUAUUAAAAUGGUUGUGAUGUGGUGUGAUAGGGUGGUAUCCUCCCCUGAAUGAGUUAAGUGACUUGACUUGGCACAUGUUCACGCAUGUAGUUGAAACAUAAUCAACAUAGCCUUCACGAUAUUUAUGUUCAUGGUGGAUUAUAUCCUACUCAUGCUUGCAUUCGGUGUUGAUUAAUUUUAAUGCAUGUUCAUGACUGUUGUCGCUCUCUAGCUGGUCGCUUCCCAGUCUUUUUCUAGCCUUCACCUGUACUAAGCGGGAAUACUGCUUGUGCAUCCAAUCCCAUAAACCCCAAAGUUAUUCCAUAUGAGUCCACCAUACCUACCUAUAUAUGGUAUCUACCUGCCAUUCCAAGUAAAUUUGUAUGUGCCAAACUCUAAACCUUCAAAUAAAUAUCCUGUUUUGUAUGCUCGAAUAUCUCAUGUAUCAACUAGGGCUGUCCGUAUCUUCCAUGUUAGGCGGGUUAUUCUCAAGAGGAGUGGACUCCGCUCCUCACUCACGAGAAAAUGGCUGGUCACCGGGAUGCCCAGUCCCAUGCUUUAUGCAAAUCAAAUCAAAAUAAUUGCAAACAAAACUCCUCCUGGGACUCUUGUUAGUUGGAGGCACUCGUUGUUUCGAGCAAGCCAUGGAUUGAUGCUUGUUGGUGGAGGGGGAGUAUAAACUUUACCAUUCUGUUUGGGAACCGCCUAUAAUGUGUGUAGCAUGGAAGAUAUCGCCAUCUCUUGGUUGUUAUGUUGACAAUGAAAGUAUACCGCUCAAAAUAUUAUUCAUCUCUAUUUCAAAACCGAGCUCUGGCACCUCUACAAAUCCCUGCUUCCCUCUAUGAAGGGCCUAUCUAUUUACUUUCAUGUUGAGUCACCAUCCGCUUAUUAAAAAGCACCAGUUAGAGAGCACCGCUGUCAUUUGCAUUCAUUACUGUUAGUUUACAUUGAGUAUGACUUGACUUGAUCUCUUUUACCAUGAAUUACAAUGUCUAGUCAGUCCUUGAUCUUUAAAGGUGCUCUGCAUUUAUGUUUUGUGGUCUCAGAAAGGGCUAGCGAGAUACCAUCUUGUUAUAUCAUAUUAUGAUUGUUUUGAGAAAGUGUUGUCAUCCGAGAUUUAUUAUUAUUGCUUGCUAGUUGAUUAUGCCAUCGAUAUGAGUAAACAUGAGACCUAAGCGUUAUUGUGAAUAUGGUUAGUUCAUAAUCUUUGCUGAAAACUUGAAUGAUGGCUUUACAUAUUUACAACAACAAGAGCAAACAGAGUUUGUAAAAGUUUUUCUUUAUCACUUUCAGUUUAUCAACUGAAUUGCUUGACGACAAGCAAAGGUUUAAGCUUGGGGGAGUUGAUACGUCUCCGUUGUAUCUACUUUUCCAAACACGUUUGCCCUUGUUUUGGACUCUAACUUGCAUGAUUUGAAUGGAACUAACCCGGACUGACGCUGUUUUCAGCAGAAUUACCAUGGUGUUAUUUAUGUGCAGAAACAAAAGUUCUCGGAAUGACCUGAAACUUCACGGAACAUCUUUUUGGAAAUAAUAAAAAAUCCUUGCAAAAGAUGAAGACCAGGGGGCCCACACCCUAGCCACGAGGGUGGGGGCGCGCCUGCCCCCUGGGCGCGCCCCCUACCUUGUGGGCCCCCUGGAGCUCCUCCGACCUCAACUCCAACUCUAUAUAUUUGCUUUCGGGGAGAAAAAAUGUGGGAGAAGGAUUCAUCGCAUUUUACGAUACGGAGCCGCUGCCAAGCCCUAAAACCUCUCGGGAGGGCUGAUCUGGAGUCCGUUCGGGGCUCCGGAGAGGGGAAUCCGUCGCCAUCGUCAUCAUCAACCAUCCUCCAUCACCUAUUUCAUGAUGCUCACCGCCGUGCGUGAGUAAUUCCAUCGUAUGCUUGUUGGACGGUGAUGGGUUGGAUGAGGUUUAUCAUGUAAUCGAGUUAGUUUUGUUAGGGUUUGAUCCCUAGAAUCCACUAUGUUCUGAGAUUGAUGUUGCUAUGACUUUGCUAUGCUUAAUGCUUGUCACUGGGGCCUGAGGGCCAUGAUUUCAGAUCUGAACCUAUUAUGUUUUCAUCAAUAUAUGAGAGUUCUUGAUCCUAUCUUGCAAGUCUAUAGUCACCUACUAUGUGUUAUGAUCCGGCAACCCCGAAGUGACAAUAAUCGGGACCACUCCCGAUGAUGAUCGUAGUUUGAGGAGUACAUGUAUUCACUAUGUGUUAAUGCUUUGGNNNNNNNNNNNNNNNNNNNNNNNNNNNNNNNNNNNNNNNNNNNNNNNNNNNNNNNNNNNNNNNNNNNNNNNNNNNNNNNNNNNNNNNNNNNNNNNNNNNNNNNNNNNNNNNNNNNNNNNNNNNNNNNNNNNNNNNNNNNNNNNNNNNNNNNNNNNNNNNNNNNNNNNNNNNNNNNNNNNNNNNNNNNNNNNNNNNNNNNNNNNNNNNNNNNNNNNNNNNNNNNNNNNNNNNNNNNNNNNNNNNNNNNNNNNNNNNNNNNNNNNNNNNNNNNNNNNNNNNNNNNNNNNNNNNNNNNNNNNNNNNNNNNNNNACUGAAGGAAAUAUGCCCUAGAGGCAAUAAUAAAGUUAUUAUUUAUUUCCUUAUAUCAUGAUAAAUGUUUAUUAUUCAUGCUAGAAUUGUAUUAACCGAAAACAUAAUACAUGUGUGAAUACAUAGACAAACUUAGUGUCACUAGUAUGCCUCUACUUGACUAGCUCGUUAAUCAAAGAUGGUUAUGUUUCCUAACCAUGAACAAAGUGUUGUUAUUUGAUUAACAAGGUCACAUCAUUAGUUGAAUGAUCUGAUUGACAUGACCCAUUCCAUUAGCUUAGCACCCGAUCAUUUAGUAUGUUGCUAUUGCUUUCUUCAUGGCUUAUACAUGUUCCUAUGACUAUGAGAUUAUGCAACUCCCGUUUGCCGGAGGAACACUUUGGGUGCUACCAAACGUCACAACGUAACUGGGUGAUUAUAAAGGAGCAUUACAGGUGUCUCCAAAGGUAAAUGUUGGGUUGGCGUAUUUCGAGAUUUGGAUUUGUCACUCCGAUUGUCGGAGAGGUAUCUCUGGGCCCUCUCGGUAAUACACAUCACAUAAGCCUUGCAAGCAUUGCAACUAAUGAGUUAGUUGUGAGAUGAUGUAUUACGGAACGAGUAAAGAGACUUGCCGGUAACGAGAUUGAACUAGGUAUUGGAUACCGACGAUCGAAUCUCGGGCAAGUAACAUACCGAUGACAAAGGGAACAACGUAUGUUGUUAUGCGGUCUGACCGAUAAAGAUCUUCGUAGAAUAUGUAGGAACCAAUAUGGGCAUCCAGGUCCCGCUAUUGGUUAUUGACCGGAGACGUGUCUCGGUCAUGUCUACAUUGUUCUCGAACCCGUAGGGUCCGCACGCUUAAGGUUACGAUGACAGUUAUAUUAUGAGUUUAUGCAUUUUGAUGUACCGAAGGUUGUUCGGAGUCCCGGAUGUGAUCACGGACAUGAUGAGGAGUCUUGAAAUGGUCGAGACAUAAAGAUUUAUAUAUUGGAAGCCUAUGUUUGGAUAUCGGAAGUGUUCCGGGUAAAAUCGGGAUUUUACCGGAGUACCGGGAGGUUACCGGAACCCCCCGGGAGCUAUAUGGGCCUUAGUGGGCUUUAGUGGAAAGGAGAAAGGGGCAGCCCAAGGUGGCUAUGCGCCUCCCCCCUUCCCCUAGUCCUAUUAGGACUAGGAGAGGUGGCCGGCCCCCUCUCUCUCUUUCCCCCCUCAAGGAAUCCUAUUCCAACUAGGAUUNNNNNNNNNNUCAUGUCUACAUUGUUCUCGAACCCGUAGGGUCCGCACGCUUAAGGUUACGAUGACAGUUAUAUUAUGAGUUUAUGCAUUUUGAUGUACCGAAGGUUGUUCGGAGUCCCGGAUGUGAUCACGGACAUGACGAGGAGUCUCGAAAUGGUCGAGACAUAAAGAUUGAUAUAUUGGAAGCCUAUGUUUGGAUAUCGGAAGUGUUCCGGGUGAAAUCGGGAUUUUACCGGAGUACCGGGAGGUUACCGGAACCCCCCGGGAGCUAUAUGGGCCUUAGUGGGCUUUAGUGGAAAGGAGAAAGGGGCAGCCCAAGGUGGCUGUGCGCCUCCCCCUUCCCCUAGUCCUAUUAGGACUAGGAGAGGUGGCCGGCCCCCUCUCUCUCUUUCCCCCCUCAAGGAAUCCUAUUCCAACUAGGAUUGGGGGGGGGGGGGAUCCUACUCCCAGAGGGAGUAGGACUCUCCUGGCGCGCCCUCCCUUGGCCGGCCAGCCUCCCCCCUCUAGUCCUUUAUAUACUGAGGUAGAGGCACCCUAGAACACACAAGUUGAUCCACGUGAUCUAUUCCUUAGCCGUGUGCGGUGCCCCCAGCCACCAUAUUCCUCGAUAAUACUGUAGCGGAGUUUAGGCGAAGCCCUGCUGCUGUAGUGCAUCAAGAUCGUCACCACGCCGUCGUGCUGACGGAACUCUUCCCCGACACUUUGCUAGAUCGGAGUCCGGGGAUCGUCAUCGAGNNNNNNNNNNCCCUCUAGUCCUUUAUAUACUGAGGUAGAGGCACCCUAGAACACACAAGUUGAUCCACGUUAUCUAUUCCUUAGCCGUGUGCAGUGCCCCCAGCCACCAUAUUCCUCGAUAAUAUUGUAGCGGAGUUUAGGCGAAGCCCUGCUGUUGUAGUGCAUCAAGAUCGUCACCACGCCGUCGUGCUGACGGAACUCUUCCCCGACACUUGGCUGGAUCGGAGUCCGGGGAUCGUCAUCGAGCUGAACGUGUGCUCGAACUAGGAGGUGCCGUAGUUUCGGUGCUUGAUCGGUUGGAUCGUGAAGACGUACGACUACUUCCUCUAUGUUGCGUCAACGCUUCCGCAGUCGGUCUGCGUGGGUACGUAGACAACACUCUCCCCUCUCGUUGCUAUGCAUCACAUGAUCUUGCGUGUGCGUAGGAAAAUUUUGAAAUUACUACGAAAGCCAACAGUGGCAUCCGAGCCUAGGUUAUUUAUGUUGAUGUUAUAUGCACGAGUAGAACACAAGUGAGUUGUGGGCGAUAUAAGUCAUACUGCCUACCAGCAUGUCAUACUUUGGUUUGGCGGCAUUGUUGGACGAGACGACCUGGACCAACAUUACGCGUACGCUUACGCGAGACCGGUUCCCCCGACGUGCUUUGCACAUAGGUGGCUUGCGGGCGACUGUCUCUCCAACUUUAGUUAAACCGAGUAUGGCUAUGCCCGGUCCUUGCGAAGGUUAAAACGGAGUCUAUUUGACAAACUAUCGUUGUGGUUUUGAUGCGUAGGUGAGAUUGGUUCUUGCUUAAGCCCGUAGCAGCCACGUAAAACUUGCAACAACAAAGUAGAGGACGUCUAACUUGUUUUUGCAGGGCAUGUUGUGAUGUGAUAUGGUCAAGGCAUGAUGCUAAAUUUUAUUGUAUGAGAUGAUCAUGUUGUGUAACCGAGUUAUCGGCAACUGGCAAGAGCCAUAUGGUUGUCGCUUUAUUGUAUGCAAUGCAAUCGCGAUGUAAUGCUUUACUUUAUUACUAAGCGGUAGUGAUAGUCGUAGAAGCAUAAGAUUGGCGAGACGACAACGAUGCUACGAUGGAGAUCAAGGUGUCGCGCCGGUGACGAUGGUGAUCAUGACGGUGCUUCGGAGAUGGAGAUCACAGGCACAAGAUGAUGAUGCCCAUAUCAUAUCACUUAUAUUGAUUGCAUGUGAUGUUUAUCUUUUAUGCAUCUUAUCUUGCUUUGAUUGACGGUAGCAUUAUAAGAUGAUCUCUCACUAAAUUAUCAAGAAUUGUUCUCCCUGAGUAUGCACCAUUGCCAAAGUUCGUCGUGCCCAGACACCACGUGAUGAUCGGGUGUGAUAAGCUCUACGUCCAUCUACAACGGGUGCAAGCCAGUUUUGCACACGCAGAAUACUCAGGUUAAACUUGACGAGCCUAGCAUAUGCAGAUAUGGCCUCGGAACACGGAGACCGAAAGGUCGAGCGUGAAUCAUAUAGUAGAUAUGAUCAAGAUAACGAUGUUCACCAUUGAAAACUACUCCAUCUCACGUGAUGAUUGGUUAUGGUUUAGUUGAUUUGGAUCACGUAAUCACUUAGAGGAUUAGAGGGAUGUCUAUCUAAGUGGGAGUUCUUAAGUAAUAUGAUUAAUUGAACUUAAAUUUAUCAUGAACUUAGUACUUGAUAGUAUCUUGCUUGUUUAUGUUGAUUGUAGAUAGAUGGCUCGUGCUGUUGUUCCGUUGAAUUUUAAUGCAUUCCUUGAGAAAGCAAAGUUGAAAGAUGAUGGUAGAAAUUACACGGACUGGGUCCGUAACUUGAGGAUUAUCCUCAUUGCUGCACAGAAGAAUUACGUCCUGGAAGCACCGCUAGGUGCCAGGCCUGCUGCUAGAGCAACACCAGAUGUUAUGAACGUCUGGCAGAGCAAAGCUGAUGACUACUCAAUAGUUCAGUGUGCCAUGCUUUACGGCUUAGAAUCGGGACUUCAACGACGUUUUGAACGUCAUGGAGCAUAUGAGAUGUUCCAGGAGUUGAAGUUAAUAUUUCAAGCAAAUGCCCGGAUUGAGAGAUAUGAAGUCUCCAAUAAGUUCUAUAGCUGCAAGAUGGAGGAGAACAGUUAUGUCAGUGAGCAUAUACUCAAAAUGUCUGGGUAUAAUAAUCACUUGAUUCAAUUGGGAGUUAAUCUUCUGGAUGAUUGCGUCAUUGACAGAAUUCUCCAAUCACUGCCACCAAGCUACAAGAGCUUCGUGAUGAACUAUAAUAUGCAAGGGAUGAACAAGAUUAUUCCCGAGCUCUUCGCAAUGCUGAAAGCUGCGGAGGUAGAAAUCAAGAAGGAGCAUCAAGUGUUGAUGGUUAACAAGACCACUAGUUUCAAGAAAAAGGGCAAAGGGAAGAAGAAGGGGAACUUCAAGAAGAACAGCAAGCAAGUUGCUGCUCAGGAGAAGAAACCCAAGUCUGGACCUAAGCCUGAAACUGAGUGCUUCUACUGCAAGCAGACUGGUCACUGGAAGCGGAACUGCCCCAAGUAUUUGGCGGAUAAGAAGGAUGGCAAGGUGAACAAAGGUAUAUGUGAUAUACAUGUUAUUGAUGUGUACCUUACUAGAGCUCGCAGUAGCACCUGGGUAUUUGAUACAGGUUUUGUUGCUAAUAUUUGCAACUCGAAACAGGGACUACGGAAUAAGCGGGCACUAGCAAAGGACGAGGUGACGAUGCGCGUGGGAAACGGUUCCAAAGUCGAUGUGAUCGCGGUCGGCACGCUACCUCUACAUCUACCUUCGGGGUUAAUAUUAGACCUAAAUAAUUGUUAUUUGGUGCCAGCGUUGAGCAUGAACAUUAUAUCUGUAUCUUGUUUGAUGCGAGACAGUUAUUCAUUUAAAUCUGAGAAUAAUGGUUGUUCUAUUUACAUGAGUAAUAUCUUUUAUGGUCAUGCACCUUUGAAGAGUGGUCUAUUUUUGAUGAAUCUCGAUAGUAGUGAUACACAUAUUCAUAAUGUUGAAACCAAAAGAUACAGAGUUGAUAAUGAAAGUGCAACUUAUUUGUGGCACUAUCGUUUAGGUCAUAUCGGUGUAAAGCGCAUGAAGAAACUCCAUACGGAUGGACUUUUGGAACCACUUGAUUAUGAAUCACUUGGUACUUGCGAACCGUGCCUCAUGGGCAAGAUGACUAAAACACCGUUCUCCGGUACUAUGGAGAGAGCAACAGAUUUGUUGGAAAUCAUACAUACCAAUGUAUGUGGUCCGAUGAAUAUUGAGGCUCGUGGCGGAUAUCGUUAUUUUCUCACCUUCACAGAUGACUUAAGCAGAUAUGGGUAUAUCUACUUAAUGAAACAUAAAUCUAAAACAUUUGAAAAGUUCAAAGAAUUUCAGAGUGAAGUUGAAAAUCAUCGUAACAAGAAAAUAAAGUUUCUACGAUCUGAUCGUGGAGGAGAAUAUUUGAGUUAUGAGUAUGGUGUACAUUUGAAAAAUUGUGGAAUAGUUUCGCAACUCACGCCACCCGGAACACCAUAGCGUAAUGGUGUGUCCGAACGUCGAAAUCGUACUUUACUAGAUAUGGUGCGAUCUAUGAUGUCUCUUACUGAUUUACCGCUAUCGUUUUGGGGUUAUGCUUUAGAGACGGCCGCAUUCACGUUAAAUAGGGCACCAUCAAAAUCCGUUGAGACGACGCCUUAUCAACUAUGGUUUGGCAAGAAACCAAAGUUGUCGUUUCUUAAAGUUUGGGGCUGCGAUGCUUAUGUGAAAAAGCUUCAACCUGAUAAGCUCGAACCCAAAUCGGAGCAAUGUGUCUUCAUAGGAUACCCAAAGGAGACUGUUGGGUACACCUUCUAUCACAGAUCCGAAGGCAAGACAUUCGUUGCUAAGAAUGGACCCUUUCUAGAGAAGGAGUUUCUCUCGAAAGAAGUGAGUGGGAGGAAAGUAGAACUUGACGAGGUAACUGUACCUGCUCCUUUAUUGGAAAGUAGUACAUCACAGAAAACUGUUUCUAUGACACCUACACCAAUAAGUGAGGAAGCUAAUGAUGAUGAUCAUGAAACUUCAGAUCAAGAUACUACUGAACCUCGUAGAUCAACCGGAGUAAGAUCCGCGCCAGAGUGGUACGGUAAUCCUGUUCUGGAAAUCAUGCUACUAGAUCAUGAUGAACCUACGAACUAUGAAGAAGCGAUGGUGAGCCCAGAUUCCGCAAAGUGGCUUGAAGCCAUGAAAUCUGAGAUGGGAUCCAUGUAUGAGAACAAAGUAUGGACUUUGGUUGACUUGCCCGAUGAUCGGCAAGCAAUUGAGAAUAAAUGGAUCUUCAAAAGGAAGACUGACGCUGAUGGUAAUGUUACUGUCUACAAAGCUCGACUUGUCGCAAAAGGUUUUCGACAAGUUCAAGGGGUUGACUACGAUGAGACCUUCUCACCCGUAGCGAUGCUUAAGUCUGUCCGAAUCAUGUUAGCAAUUGCCGCAUUUUAUGAUUAUGAAAUUUGGCAGAUGGAUGUCAAAACUGCAUUCCUGAAUGGAUUUCUGGAAGAAGAGUUGUAUAUGAUGCAACCGGAAGGUUUUGUCGAUCCAAAGGGGGCUACCAAAGUGUGCAAGCUCCAGCGUUCCAUUUAUGGACUGGUGCAAGCCUCUCGGAGUUGGAAUAAACGUUUUGAUAAUGUGAUCAAAGCAUUUGGGUUUAUAUAGACUUUCGGAGAAGCCUGUAUUUACAAGAAAGUGAGUGGGAGCUCUGUAGCAUUUUUGAUAUUAUAUGUGGAUGACAUAUUGCUGAUUGGAAAUGAUAUAGAAUUUCUGGAUAGCAUAAAGGGAUACUUGAAUAAGAGUUUUUCAAUGAAAGACCUCGGUGAAGCUGCUUACAUAUUAGGCAUAAAGAUCUAUAGAGAUAGAUCAAGACGCUUAAUUGGACUUUCACAAAGCACAUACCUUGACAAGAUUUUGAAGAAGUUCAAAAUGGAUCAAGCAAAGAAAGGGUUCUUGCCUGUGUUACAAGGUGUGAAGAUGAGUCAGACUCAAUGCCCGACCACUACAGAAGAUAGAGAGAAAAUGAAAGAUGUUCCCUAUGCUUCAGCCAUAGGCUCUAUCAUGUAUGCAAUGUUGUGUACCAGACCUGAUGUGUGCCUUGCUAUUAGUUUACCAGGGAGGUACCAAAGUAAUCCAGGAGUGGAUCACUGGACAGCGGUCAAGAACAUCCUGAAAUACCUGAAAAGGACUAAGGAUAUGUUUCUCGUAUAUGGAGGUGACAAAGAGCUCACCGUAAAAGGUUACGUUGAUGCAAGCUUUGACACUGAUCCGGACGAUUCUAAAUCGCAAAUCGGAUAUGUGUUUACAUUAAACAGUGGAGCUAUCAGUUGGUACAGUUCUAAACAAAGCGUCGUAGCGGGAUCUACAUGUGAAGCGGAGUACAUAGCUGCUUCGGAAGCAGCGAACGAAGGAGUCUGGAUGAAGGAGUUCAUAUCCGAUCUAGGUGUCAUACCUAGUGCAUCGGGUCCAAUGAAAAUCUUUUGUGACAAUACUGGUGCAAUUGCCUUGGCAAAGGAAUCCAGAUUUCACAAAAGGACCAAACACAUCAAGAGACGCUUCAAUUCCCUCCUGGAUCUAGUCCAGGUGGGAGACAUAGAGAUUUGCAAGAUACAUACGGAUCUGAAUGUUGCAUACUGGUUGACUAAGCCUCUUCCACGAGCAAAACAUGAUCAGCACCAAAGCUCCAUGGGUGUUAGAAUCAUUACAGUCUAAUCUAGAUUAUUGACUCUAGUGCAAGUGGGAGACUGAAGGAAAUAUGCCCUAGAGGCAAUAAUAAAGUUAUUAUUUAUUUCCUUAUAUCAUGAUAAAUGUUUAUUAUUCAUGCUAGAAUUGUAUUAACCGGAAACAUAAUACAUGUGUGAAUACAUAGACAAACUUAGUGUCACUAGUAUGCCUCUACUUGACUAGCUCGUUAAUCAAAGAUGGUUAUGUUUCCUAACCAUGAACAAAGUGUUGUUAUUUGAUUAACGAGGUCACAUCAUUAGUUGAAUGAUCUUAUUGACAUGACCCAUUUCAUUAGCUUAGCACCCGAUCGUUUAGUAUGUUGCUAUUACUUUCUUCAUGACUUAUACAUGUUCCUAUGACUAUGAGAUUAUGCAACUCCCGUUUGCCGGAGGAACACUUUGGGUGCUACCAAACGUCACAACGUAACUGGGUGAUUAUAAAGGAGCAUUACAGGUGUCUCCAAAGGUAAAUGUUGGGUUGGCGUAUUUCGAGAUUUGGAUUUGUCACUCCGAUUGUCGGAGAGGUAUCUCUGGGCCCUCUCGGUAAUACACAUCACAUAAGCCUUGCAAGCAUUGCAACUAAUGAGUUAGUUGUGAGAUGAUGUAUUAUGGAACGAGUAAAGAGACUUGCCGGUAACGAGAUUGAACUAGGUAUUGGAUACCGACGAUCGAAUCUCGGGUAAGUAACAUACUGAUGACAAAGGGAACAACGUAUGUUGUUAUGCGGUCUGACCAAUAAAGAUCUUCGUAGAAUAUGUAGGAACCAAUAUGGGCAUCCAGGUCCCGCUAUUGGUUAUUGACCGGAGACGUGUCUCGGUCAUGUCUACAUUGUUCUCGAACCCGUAGGGUCCGCACGCUUAAGGUUACGAUGACAGUUAUAUUAUGAGUUUAUGCAUUUUGCUGUACCGAAGGUUGUUAGGAGUCCCGGAUGUGAUCAUGGACAUGACGAGGAGUCUCGAAAUGGUCAAGACAUAAAGAUUUAUUUAUUGGAAGCCUAUGUUUGGAUAUCGGAAGUGUUCCGGGUAAAAUCGGGAUUUUACUGGAGUACCGGGAGGUUACCGGAACCCCCCGGGAGCUAUAUGGGCCUUAGUGGGCUUUAGUGGAAAGGAGAAAGGGGCAGCCCAAGGUGGCUAUGCGCCUCCCCCCUUCCCCUAGUCCUAUUAGGACUAGGAGAGGUGGCCGGCCCCCUCUCUCUCUUUCCCCCCUCAAGGAAUCCUAUUCCAACUAGGAUUGGGGGAGAAUCCUACUCCCAGAGGGAGUAGGACUCUCCUGGCGCGCCCUCCCUUGGCCGGCCAGCCUCCCCCCCUCUAGUCCUUUAUAUACUGAGGUAGAGGCACCCUAGAACACACAAGUUGAUCCACGUGAUCUAUUCCUUAGCCGUGUGCGGUGCCCCUAGCCACCAUAUUCCUCGAUAAUACUGUAGCGGAGUUUAGGCGAAGCCCUGCUGCUGUAGUGCAUCAAGAUCGUCACCACGCCGUCGUGCUGACGGAACUCUUCCCCGACACUUUGCUGGAUCGGAGUCCGGGGAUCGUCAUCGAGCUGAACGUGUGCUCGAACUCGGAGGUGCCGUAGUUUCGGUGCUUGAUCGGUUGGAUCGUGAAGACGUACGACUACUUCCUCUACGUUGCGUCAACGCUCGCAGUCGGUCUGCGUGGGUACGUAGACAACACUCUCCCCUCUCGUUUCUAUGCAUCACAUGAUCUUGCGUGUGCGUAGGAAAAUUUUGAAAUUACUACGAAACCCAACAAUGCCUACAUUACAUUGAUGAAUUGGAGCUAGUUCUAUGUCACCCUAUGUUAUGACUGUUACAUGAUGAACCGCAUCUGGCAUAAUUCUCUAUCAUCGAUCCAUUGCCUACGAGCUUCCCAUAUAUUGUUCUUUGCUUAUUUACUUUUCUGUUGCUAUUGUUACAAUCAUUACAAAAUACCAAAAACAUUACUUUUGCUAUCAUUACCUUUUGCUACCGUUACCACUACUAUCAUAUUACUUUGCUAGUAAACACUUUGCUGCGGAUAUUAAGUUUCCAGGUGUGGUUGAAUUAACAACUCAGCUGCUAAUACUUGAGAAUAUUCUUUGGCUCCCCUUGUGUCGAAUCAAUAAAUUUGGGUUGAAUACUCUACCCUCGAAAACUGUUGCGAUCCCCUAUACUUGUGGGUUAUCAUGUACCGACGGGUAAGCUCUUAGGUUUUCUGGUGUCUAACAGGGGCAUCAAGGCUAAUCCGGAGAAGAUCAAGGCCAUCACUUCUCUGGCUAAACCGGCGUGUAUCAACGACAUUCAACGUCUGGCGGGUCGUAUUGUGGCGCUUAGCGGGUUCAUAAGCCGGUUAGGAGAGAAGGCUAUCCCUCUAUAUCAGAUGAUGAAGAAGACAAAUAAUUUUGCCUGGAGUGAUGCUGCUAAUGUGGCGUUUGAGGAUUUGAAAAAACAGUUGGCCGAACCGCUGGUUCUUGCGGCCCCCGUUGAUAAAGAACCAUUGUUGUUAUAUGUGGCUGCCAAUGCCGGGCUGUCAGUGUAGCUAUUGUGGUGGAACGGAAAGAGACAGGCAAGGAAUAUCCGGUUCAACGGCUGGUUUACUACAUCAGUGAGGUGCUUAUUGAGUCCAAACAUAGAUAUCCGCACUAGCAGAAGCUUGUAUACGGGGUUUUUAUGGCCGGCCGAAAGCUUAAACAGUAUUUCCAGGGUCAUCCCAUCACCAUGGUUAGUUCCGCUCCUUUGGGAGAUAUCAUCCAAACACAGGGAAGCAACUGGCCGGAUCGCUAAGUGGGCUAUUGAGCUUGGACCUCACGGUUUAAAGUAUGUACCUCAUAGGGCUGUCAAGUCCCAAGCACUAGUAUAUUUCAUCAAUGAUUGGACAGAGUUGCAAGCGCCGGAGGAAAGGACAGAUAACACGUAUUGGACCAUUCACUUUGAUGUGUCCAGGAAAUUGGAGGGCUCGGGGGCUGGAGUUGUCCUUGCUUCCCCUCGAGGUGAUAAAUUUUGCUAUGUUCUCCGUUUGAUGUUUCCUUGCACUAAAUAUGCAGCUGAAUAUGAGGCCUUGCUCCACGGUCUUCGGAUGGCUAAGGAGAUGAACUUAAGCCGGGUAAGGUGCUUUGGUGACUCGGAUUUGGUGGCUCAACAGGUCUCUGGUACUUGGGAUUCCAAGGAUCCACUAAUGGCGGCUUAUCGACGAGAGGUGGAUGUUAUUGCUGGCCACUUCAAGGGUUAUCAAGUUGAGCAUGUUGAUCGAAGAAAGAAUGAAGCGGCUGAUGCUUUAAGCCAUUUGGGUUCUCAAUGUAAACCGGUGCCCCCUAUUGUUUUUCUUGACGUCCUUCAUAACCCGUUGGUCAAGUUACCCACAGAGGAGCAUUUGGCUAUUCUUGACCCGGAGGCUCAGUUGGUAGAGGUUCUUCAUGUUAUCCCUGAUUGGACAAUUCCCUAUUUGGCAUAUAUGACCCGGGGUGAGUUACCUGAGGAUGAAGUUUUGGCCAGACAGAUAAUCCGGCGGUCGAAGUCAAUGACUAUUGUCAAUGGAGAGUUACAUCAUUGCAGUGUCACAGGGCCGUUUCAACAUUGCGUGUCUCCUGAAGAAGGUUGUGAGAUCCUAUGUGAGAUCCAUGAAGGAGAUUGUGGUCAUCAUGUCGGUUCAAAAUCUCUGGUAGCCAAAGCUUUUCGUCACGGUUUUUAUUGGCUGACGGCUCAUGCUGAUGCUGAGGACUUGGUCAGAAGGUGUGACGGUUGUCCGAAGUUUGCACGUCGAGUUCAUGUGCCGGCUCAGGAGUUAAGGAUGAUUCCAAUUACUUGGCCGUUUGCAGUUUGGGGACUUGAUAUGGUUGGGCCCUUUAAGAGAUCCAAGGAUAAGAAGACCCACCUCUUGGUGGCAGUUGACAAGUUUACUAAAUGGGUAGAGGCAGAGCCAGUGAGUAAGUGUGAUGCACCAACGGUGGUUCAAUUCAUGAAGAAAGUGAUCUUCCACUUUGGCUUUCCACAUAGCAUUAUAACAGACAAUGGCACUAACCUCUCCAAGGGAGCUAUGGAAGAUUUUUGUCAACGUGAGCAUGUCCGGCUUGAUGUAUCAUCAGUGGCUCACCCCCAGUCUAAUGGAUUUUGAGAGGUAUCAAACGCCGGCUUAUGGUUCCCCUACAUAGGACGCCGGGUUGUUGGGUAGAGGAGUUACCUUCCGUGUUAUGGAGCAUUAAUACCACCCCCAACAGGUCUACGGGUUUAUUCAUGGUCUAUGGAGCAGAGGCGGUUCUCCCUAGUGACAUCCGUCAUGACUCUCCCCGCGUGGCGGCUUAUGUUGAAGCUGACAAUGAAAAAGCUCGCCAGGAAGCACUUGACCUGUUAGAUGAAGAACGUCAUAUCGCAGCGGCUCGUUCGGCGAUUUACCAGCAAGAUCUGCACCAUUACCACAACCGCCGGGUUAAACCAGAACCUUUCAAGAAGGCGAUCUGGUGCUCCGGCUCAUCCAGGAUCAGACUGAUAUGCACAAGUUAUCCCCACCUUGGGUAGGACCCUUUGUCGUCAGCAAGAAUCUAAAUAACGGGUCAUAUUACCUCAUCGAUGUUUGAGUCCACAAGGACUCACGCACAUCGGAUGAGGAGACCCGCCGGCCCUGGAAUAUUGCUCAUCUUAGGCCAUACUACACUUAAGCCGCAGGCUCUCCUUAUGUACAUAUUUAGACAAUGUAUAUAUUAUGAUUGAUAUAAUAAACUAGCAUCCUUGCUAAAGUGGGUGAGGGAGUCCUGGAUUAGGGGGUGUCCGGAUAGCCGGACUAUAACCUUUGGCCAGACUCUUGGACUAUGAAGAUACAAGAUUGAAGACUUCGUCCCAUGUCCGGAUGGGACUUUCCUUGGCGUGGAAGGCAAGCUUGCCAAUACGGAUAUGUAGAUCUCCUCCCAUUGUAACCGACUCUGUGUAACCCUAGCCCUCUCCGGUGUCUAUAUAAACCGGAGGGUUUUAGUCCAUAAGACGAACAACAAUCAUACCAUAGGCUAGCUUCUAGGGUUUAGUCUCUCUGAUCUCGUGGUAGAUCUACUCUCGUACUACCCAUAUCAUCAAUAUUAAUCAAGCAAGACGUAGGGUUUUACCUCCAUCAAGAGGGCCCGAACCUGGGUAAAACAUUGUGUCCCCUGCCUCCUGUUACCAUCUGGCCUAGACGCACAGUUCGGGACCCCCUACCCGAGAUCCGCCGGUUUUGACACCGACAUUGGUGCUUCCAUUGAGAGUUCCUCUGUGUCUUCGCCAUUAGGCUUGAUGGCUCCUACUAUCAUCGAUAGCGAUGCAGUCCAGGGUGAGACUUUUCUCCCCGGACAGAUCUUCGUGUUCGGUGGCUUUGCACUCCGGGCCAAUUCACUUGGCCAUCUGGAGCAGAUUGAAAGUUACGCCCCUGGCCACAAGAUCAGGUUUGGAAGCUUAAACUACACGGCCGAUAUCUGUGGAGAUUUGAUCUUCGACGGAUUCGAGCCUCUGCCUUCUGCGCCACGCGGUCACAAUGUGUAACGCCCUCGAUGCGGCUAUAUCUCCCACGUGUCGAAGCACGACUUAGAGGCAUAACUGCAUUGAAAGCAAUGUCGCAAGUGAGGUAAUCUUCGCAAACAACCCAUGUAAUACAAUAGGGGAAAAGAUACAUAGUUGGCUUACAAUCGCCACUUCACACAAUUACAUGAAUAAAGCAUUACAUCAACCAGAUACAAUCAAGGUCCGACUACGGAACCAAAAUAAAAGAAGAACCCCAAUUUGCGACAAGGUCCCCGAUUGACCCCAACUGGGCUCCACUACUGAUCAACUAGAACGAAAAACAACACAAAGGGCAAGAUCUUCAUCGAGCUCCUCCUGAUCUUGGUUGUGUCAUCUGCACAGACUCAUCGACACCUGCAAGCUGGUUUUGGAAGUAUCUGUGAGCCACGGGGACUCAACAAUCUCGCACCCUCGCGAUCAAGACUAUUUAAGCUUAUGGGUAAGGUAAGGGUAUGAGGUGGAGCUGCAGCAAGCGACUAGCAUAUAUGGUGGCUAACAUAUUCGCAAAAUAGAGCGAGAAGAGAAGGCAAAGCACGAUCGAGAAACUAUGAUCAAGAAGUGAUCCUAGAACAACCUACGUCAAACAUAACUCCAACACCGUGUUCACUUCUCGGACUCCGCCGAGAAGAGACCAUUACGGUAACACACGCGGUUGAUAUAUUUUAAUUAAGGUCAACUUCAGGUUUUCUACAACCGGACAUUAACAAAUUCCCAUCUGCCCAUAACCGCGGGCACGACUUUCGAAAGUUCAAAUCCCUGCAGGGGUGUCCCAACUUAGCCCAUCACAAGCUCUCACGGUCAACGAAGGAUAUUCCUUCUCCCAAGACAUUCCGAUCAGACUCGGCAUCCAGGUUACAAGACAUUUCGACAAUGGUAAAACAAGUCCAGCAACACCGCCCGAAUGUGCCGACAAAUCCCGAUAGGAGCUGCACAUAUCUCGUUCUUAGGGCACACUCAGAUGAGACUAGCUACGAGUAAAACCAACCCUCAAGUUUCCCCGAGGUGGCCCCGCAGGCAGCUCAGUUUGGACCAACACUCAGAGGAGCACUAGCCCGGGGGGUUAAAAUAAUGAUGACCCUUGAGUCUGCAGAACCCAAGGGAAAGAAAAGGCUAGGUGGUGAAUGGUAAAACCAAUGUUGGGCAUUGCUGGAUGAGUUUUAUUCAAGGCGAACUAUCAAGGGGUUCCCAUUAUUACCCAACCGCGUAAGGAACGCAAAAUCCGGGAACAUAACACCGAUAUGACGGAAACUAGGGCGGCAAGAGUGGAACAAAACAGCAGGCAUAAGGCUGAGCCUUCCACCCUUUACCAAGUAUAUAGAUGCAUUAAUUAAAUAAGAUAUAUUGUGAUAUCCCAACAAGUAAACAUGUUCCAACAAGGAACAACAUCUCCAUAUUCCAACAAGGAACAAACUUCAAUCUUCACCUGCAACUAACAACGCUAUAAGAGGGGCUGAGCAAAGCGGUAACAUAGCCAAACAACGGUUUGCUAGGACAAGGUGGGUUAGAGGCUUGGCUCAAUAGUAUGGGAGGCAUGAUAAGCAAGUGGUAGGUAUCGCAGCAUAGGCAUAGCAAAAUAGCGAGCAACUAGCAAGCAAAGAUAGAAGUGAUUUCGAGGGUAUGGUCAUCUUGCCUGAAAUCCCGCAAGGAAGAAGAACGAGUCCAUGAAGAAGAACAAACGGACAUAGACGAACAGAUCCUCACAAGCGCGGCGUUACCGGAACCAACCUGAAGAAGCAACACCGGAAAAGAAGCACACAACAUAGUAAACAACCACCACAUAGACAUGGCAUGAUGCGCAACCAAGUAUGAUGCAUGUCCGGUUUAAUGAAGCAUGGCAUGGCAAAGUGCACAAACAAUCCUACAAAUUAAGUGGAGCUCAAUAUGCAACGGGAUGCAUAUUGACGGAACACCACAUUCGAGUUACUUAGUUCGAUCUCGUUUAUGUACCCAACAAUAUUAAAUGUUGUUAAACAUGGCAAGAGGGUGAAGCAUAAUAAAACUAUCUAUCUAGGCAAGUUUAAAUGAGGCCGGAAGCAACGAACAACAAUUCCGGUAAAUCCCCAUAUGCAUAUUAUAGAUUUGGUACUGUUCUGCCCUAAGCCAUAUUUUAGAGUUGUUAAACAUGCAAGAUGAUGCCACCAUGUUAAACUAGGCAAAAUUCUACCCCAUUUACAUAUAAAGAUUAUUUAAAAUGGAGCUACGGUUAAUUAGUUAUGAAUUAAAGCAUUUUAGCAUGUCCAUAUAGCAAAUUUAAACAAACAUCAUUUUAAACAUGUCAAACAUGAUCGAAAGUUGGAUAUUAUUAAACUAGACAAGAUUCUAAGCAUCUUUCAUAUAUAAUUUAUUAAGAUCCGAUGCACGGUUGUGAAGUUAUUAAAUGCAUGAAGUUAGGGGGUUUUCUGUAAAUCUGCCGUCACUGGAUAAAUAGGAAAAUCGUAGAUCUGGAAAAAAACAUGGACGGGCUGAAUCUGGUAGGCUGGCCCGACAGUGGUAGGCACUGGGAGGCAGCUCACCAUGGGCUCGGCCCGGUUCGGUGGUAGAAGGGAGGCUGACAGGGGGUGCUCAGCUGGGCCUCGCGGAAUGCUUGCGGCCCAUGCGGGCAUGUGCGGCAGCGGCCUGGUUCAUGCUCGCUUGAAUCACAGAGGAAGGGGACGAAGCAGGUCGACGAAGCAGAGGAUCGAGCGGGCCGCGCUUCGCCUUGCAGCAGGACGACGGCGGCGGCCUAGCGUGUCUCCGGCGAGGGCCAGUGCGCGGGAUGGCUGGGGAGGCGGAUCCGCAGCGGUGCAGGCUUGAGGCGUUGGUGCGGGCAAAGCUCGGCGACGCCAUGGCGCGGGGUACUCCUGUCGACAGAGAAAGGAGAACAGAGAGAUGAGAGAGGGAGAAACGGGAGGAGCACAGGAAGGAGAAGAAGGGGGCGACGCUCAUCUGGAUCGGGAGGAGCUCGGGCACGGACACAAGGGCAGCGGCGAAGCAGUGGCUUGCGGGGGCUCCUCUCCUCUCGAUGGAGCUCGGGAACGAGGGCACGGGGAGUAGCGGGGUGUAGGCGCCUGGUGGUGCUCGACGGCGGAGGAGCUCCUCUCCGGUUGGGUUCGAGCGAGGCAACGAGGUGGAAGCAGGCGCGAGGCCGUGGCCUCGAUCCAUCCUGGAUCGGGCGCCGGCUGGCUGCGGGAGAGAUCGAUCAUGGGGGCUGGCUGCGAUGGGAGAUGCAGUCGGAUGGAUGGAUUGAUCUAAAACAGUGGGGAUUGGCCGGCGUUGAAAACGAGGAGAGUCGCGGCGGAUGAGAUGGAUGGAAGGUACAAACUGCCUAGGAUCUAGGGUUGGUCUAGUUUUAGACUAGGGAGUAUAUAUAUAAGGAAAGAGGAAGAGUUUAGGGGCUAAUCCGUCCCCCCAAUUAAAAUCGAGCGGUCGAGAUAAAUAGACUAGGAAGUCCAAAUAAGAAAACAGAGACGUUUUGUAGAUGUUUGGGGAUGAUCCGGACACGACGGUGACGACUGCUCGGGUCGGGUCCGGGACAAUUUUCGGACGCGCGCGCGAGGAGGGCCGCGGGCUGACGAGAGAGGUUAAGUUGGACCUGUCGGUAGUUAGUGGGCUGUGUAGACGGUCUCAAGCUGAGAGAAGAGAAGAGAGGGAGGCCCGGCGACUGUUUUCGGAGACUGAAAACGUCCGACGUUAGACCGGCUAUAAUGCCGCUAUAGUUAACCGUUGGGGCAUCAAACGAUCUCCGAAUGCAAUGAAACUUGACAGGCGGUCUAUCUACACUAUAAUAAGACCACAUGUCAAAUCUCAUCCCAUUCCGAGAACAUUUUCCGGCCACUUAUACUAUUUCGGACAUGCCGCGGGCGUGUGCAAGUGUGGUUGGGCUCAGAACGGACAACGGAGAGAACUCGGAGAACCCGGACGAAUGCAAGUUUUAAAACAUGAUGAUGCAAUGCACAUGAUGACAUGAUAAGAUGCAACACGCAAGCAAAUGUCAAGGCAACAACAGCAAAUAACUGGCAGACACCUGGCGCAACGGACUCGGGGCGUUACACGAUGAGUAUGACUUAGCUCUCCCAUCGGACAGUGUUAAGGAGAUCGCACCGGCAGCCGCUCCGACCCUCAAUUUGGCGCCAGUGUCGCCUUCCGUGGAUGGGUGGAUGGACCCCGCCAUGGAGGCCUUACCCUCAGCGGCGAUCGAGCCAAACAUCGACCUUACCUUGCACGAGAGCCGUGUUGUUAAACUGCUGGAUCCUUCCCCGGCCACGGACUCCGAACCGCCUGCACCCAUUCCUAUCGAAUCUGAUUGGGCGCCGAUCAUGGAAUUUACCUCCGUGGAUAUUUUUCAGCACUCGCCCUUUGGCGACAUACUGAACUUGUUAAGGUCUCUCUCCUUAUCAGGAGGAUCCUGUCCGAACUAUGUCCGGCAGGACUGGGAUGCGGACGACGAAGAAAUUCGCGACCCACCCACCACCCACUUAGUAGCCAUUGUCGAUGAUUUAACCGACAUGCUCGACUUCGACUCCGAAAACAUCGACGGUAUGGACGACGAUGCGAGAGACAAAGAGGAACCACUGCCCAUAGGGCACUGGACGUCCACCUCAUCACAUGACGUAUACAUGGUGGACACACCAAAGGAAAACGACGACAAGGAAUGGAAGGACGCAAUGAAGGGCUAUCCCCUCGAGAAGCAGUCAAAGCGGCGGCGUAAGCGCCGCCCCAAAUCCCGCCUUGACAAAAAUAAUGAUCAUAUAGACCCAGCGUUAGAGCAGGGCGAACCACUGCCGGACCACGGCAACGCGGAGAAACAAACCGAACAAACCAACCCUGUCAAGGAUAAUAGUCCGGAGGACAUAACACCGGACAGACGCCCGGAGCAACAAAAUGCCCAUCAAAGGCUUGUUGCCACCACGAGGAGUCUAAAAAGGCAGAAGCACAGGCUCAAGGCGGCGCAAGACACACUCCAAAUCAGAUGGAGUAAAGUACUCAACACAGCAGCGAAGUACGGCGACAGUCGCCACACAACAAGCUACCCAAAGCGAAAGCUCCUGCCUGAAUUUGAUGAGGAGGCCUUAGAACCUCCUCAAUCAACAAAUAAGGAAGCCACCCGGUCGGAUAAACGACCCCAUGGCCAAUAUAGAGCGGCAAUAGGUGCCGCACACAAGCCAGCACGCGACCCACUCAAGGAUUCGCAUCAAAAAGAUGGCCCAGCCAGAUCUAUCUACGGGCCAAGAAAGCAAGCUCUAGUAAGCAAUGCAACACAACAAACAUCCGAACACUACGGCACACCCAAAUACAGGGGUGUCGCACACCCCCUAUGUUUCACCGAUGAGGUGCUGGACCAUGAAUUUCCAGCGGGAUUCAAGCCCAUAAACAUAGAGGCAUACGACGGAACGACAGACCCUGGAGUCUGGAUUGAGGACUAUAUCCUCCAUAUCCAUAUGGCCAGAGGAGACGACCUCCACGCCAUAAAAUACUUACCCCUCAAGCUCAAAGGGCCAGCCCGGCAUUGGCUUAAAGGCCCUCCUGAAAACACCAUUGGAAGUUGGGAAGAGCUCGAGGAUGCUUUUCGGGCAAAUUUUCAAGGGACCUAUGUCCGGCCUCCGGACGCAGACGAUUUAAGUCAUAUAACUCAACAGCCCGGAGAGUCAGCCCGAAAACUCUGGAACAAAUUGCUUACUAAAAAUAACCAGAUAGUCGACUGUCCGGACGCUGAAGCCUUAGCAGCUUUCAAACGCAGCGUUCGAGAUGAAUGGCUCGCCGGACACCUCGGCCAAGAAAAGCCAAGAACAAUGGCCGCAUUAACAAGCCUCAUGACCCGCUUUUGCGCGGGAGAGGACAGCUGGUUGGCAAGAUGCAUCACCAGCGACCCAAGUACAUCCCAAGUCAGGGACGGAAAUAGGAAACCGCGAUGCAGCCAGGACAAACGAUGGAAUAAAGAAGACAGCACGAAGAGCACGACAGUAAACGCCAGAUUCAAAAGCUCUCGGCCAAGUCAGCAAAAGCUGCCCUCUAAAGGCGCCAGAGACGAACUGUCCAGCCUAAACAAAAUUCUGGACCAAGUAUGUCAGAUCCAUAGCACCCCUGGUAAACCCGCUAAUCAUACCCACAGAGAAUGUUGGGUCUUCAAGCAGUCCGGCAAGCUCAACGCCGUACACAAGGGGGAGGAUACACCAAGCGAAGACGAGGAUGAGCCUCUCAAGCAUGACACUGGGGAACAAAAGAAGUUUCCACCAGAAGUCAAAACAAUCAACGUGUUACACGUGAUCAAGGGAAGCAAAGCGGCACUCCCAGAGAGACAUGCCCAAGGACCUAUCACAGCGAAGUCCUACCACUGGUCGUCUCAAACGAUCACUUUCGACCAUCGUGAUUACUCAGCAAGUAUCCAGCGUGCAGGAUGGGCUGCCCUGGUAUUAGACCCAAUAAUUAACGGAUACCACUUUACACAAGUCCUGAUGGACGGUGGCAGCAGUUUAAACCUGAUAUACCAGGAUACAAUCCGCGAAAUGGGGAUAGACCCAACGAAAAUCCGCCAUAGCAACACUACCUUUAAAGGAGUAACGCCAGGCCCGGGGGCUCACUACACGGGCUCCCUGCUACUAAAAGUUAUAUUCGGCUUCCCCGACAACCUCCGUCGUGAAAAGCUAACCUUCCACAUCGCCCCAUUUUCAAGUGGCUAUCAAGCACUACUGGGACGCGAAGCUUUCGCCCGCUUUAACGCAAUACCGCAUUAUGCAUCUCUCACGCUUAAGAUGCCCGGCCCACGAGGCAUCAUCUCACUAAAGGGAAACAUUGAAUGUUCCUCGCGAGCAGAAGACUAUACGGCUGCCUUGACAGCCACACAUUAAAACAACUUCACCAACAAAAGCAUCUAACAGGUCAUUAAGACCACGGACACGGCUAGGCGAGUCCGGAGCAAACUUAUAAUUGAUAAAGGUUUUUGUAGCCGUACACCCCUAUACAAGGGGCUCCGCAUAUGUAAAAUAAGCGACAAUAAGGCUCAAUUUUCCCCAUCUUGAAUUAUACUUUGUUUACUUAGUACAACAUAUAUUUCGUACGGUUAUUCUGCUUUCAACUAAGUUCCUCUCUUUUACAGAUGAACACCGUGCUACACCCGUCCAGGACACGGUGCAACGGAGACACAGGAGCAGACGUGCAGUAGGGACCCGUCCCAAGGAUUCUCUUUAGAUUAAGACCCUGUGUAAACCUUUUUCACUGUCUCUUGUUGAUACACAUCCCCCGGAUUCACAGUAUAACCGAGGAGGAGGCUGGCGUCUUGGCAUGUGGCCAUGUCAGAAUUUCGCACGUACCUGGACACCAGGGGCUUAUUAUCAUGGGCACUGCUCAGCCCGUUUUUAUAAAGACCGAAUACCUUAGGGAGUGUUCGGCGUCGCGAGUUUGGCCUUAUAUGCAUCAGCUCCGAAUCAUGUCUUUGGUCAACUGUUGGGUUUGCCCGGCUCCUGUGUUUUGCUGCCUUACAUUCCGCUCUAUCGGCUAAGGCGGCACCAGGAGAACUACUGCGAUUGUGCCCCGGUUCAGCCAAGAGAGCACCUUAGUAGAGAAAGCCGAAAAUUGUCUGUCAUGAUAUAGCGUGAGACUGGUCAACCACUCAAUGACCUAUCAGAGUCUUCGGGAUUCCUCCGCAUUAACAAAGGGCUGUUUCCCGGCCAGGUACACACGCGCCCCGAGUUCGGGCGAGCACGGCGCCACCAGGGGCUAUAUAGUAGCCCUACUGUCAAACUCCUAUGGCUAAGUGAAAGUGAUAAAGCAUUAUAGUCCGAUUGCCUAGUUCGCUGCGCUAUCACCUCCUUCAUGGACCAAUACGUUGGAUCAAGUGAGAAUGCGCCUUCUGUGAACACCCCCGCAUUAUAUGCGUGGGGGCUGAAGCCGACGACUGCCAUCUUUUAGAUUAUAUACACAUAUACAUCAACGGCCGCACAGGAGGCAUUAUAAUACUUGCAGGCACAAGUAUAAAAAGCUUCUACAAUUCAUCAAAAUAUUGUUUUACAAUAAUACACGUUAUUCGAACAUAAUAUCCUUCGAGCACUGCGUCUCUAUUAAACGAGCGCCUUGCAGAACUUCCUGAAAAUAGUGCUUAGCAGGUAUUCGGCCUCCGUCCGAAUCUUGGGAUGCAACAGCGGCGGCCUCCAUCUCUGCCCAGUAUGUCUUCACACGGGCAAGGGCCAUCCGCGCACCCUCUAUGCAUGCUGACCUCUUCAUCGCAUUGAUAUGCGGCACGGCACCAAGGAACUGUGCACCAAGCUAAAAUAAAUGUUCGGCUUUGGCCUUUCCGGCCACAGAUGAUCCACGACAUCCUUCGUGGUGAGUCCGGACAACCUAUUCAGUCCGGCCCAUUCGGCCAAACGAUCGGUCAACGGAAGCGGACGCUCCGGAUUGUUGAAUUGUGACCAAAAGAGCUUUUCCACUUCGCUAUCUAUCUGAUCUCGGAAAUGUUCGGCCGCAUCAGCGGCACUCGCAGCUAAAUCCAGAUAUGCGUCCGACAAACUCCACAUCCGAUCCAACGGAGCGUAUUUAGGAUCUCCGAACUUCAUCCGCAGCAUAAAGGGCUUUCUAGCCGCGAUAUCUCCGGCCUGACGCAGCUCCUCCUUCAUCGCUCUCAUCACAGAACGAUCAUCCUUGGCCGCUGUAGUGGCCUUGUCCAGGUCUGUCCGCUCCGCCCGAUCUUCUUUUUCAAGAAGCUUGCAACGGUCAGCAGCGUUCUUUAACUUCACAACCAUUUCGGCCACUUCCUUCUUGCUUCGGCAGUGAGCAGCCUGUUCGGCUUUCAGCUCUUCAAUUGCCUUUACGGUAGCCGCAUCACUUCUCCUGGCUUGCUCCUUGGCUCGGGCAAGUUCCGCCCGAAGGUUCUCCAUGGCAGCGGGCCCAUCUGCAUCAAGCGCACACGCUGUAAGAUAUUGGCAUCAAGCUCCUCUUACCAGGUGUCUCCGGAGAAAUUACAUACCUUGUGCCUCGUCAAGCCGCUUGUUGACAAGCGCGAUGUCGGCAUCUGCCACGUCAAGUUGCCGCGUUAGCUCGGCAAAUUCAUCAGUCCGGCUGGCCACCGGACACUUCACCACCUACAUAGGAAGGCGGCAAAAUUAUACCUGGGACUAUGAUCCUCUGCGUGCUGUCAUCUUCGACAACACACAGAGUCUCAGGGGCUACUAUCUACACAUGGCGCAUCUUAUAUGCGGAACUAUCAAAAGGUACAUCACCUCGCGUACCUCAAAACCUGUCACUAAACUCCUGACGACCUCGUGCAACCCGCUUUCCGCGGACGAAAUCCUUUCAAUUACCGUACCCAUCAACGUACGGUGUUUCUCUGAGAUAGACGCUCGCCCUAACAGAUCCUUCAGUUCAUCCGACCGAGCACCAGGCGGUGCCGGACUCGUUCGAUGGCCUUUUUCAAAGACCGGACACGGAUGGCCUUGGGGGGCCAUAUGACUGCCUUCCGGUCCUGCCGGAUUCGAAGAAACCCUCCGUGACGACACCUCAGGAUCGCCCGCCUCGUAAGGCGGUACGACAGGGGGAGGUGUUCCGCUCUCCAUCAUCUCCGGAAGAAGAUCCCCCGAAGAUGAGCUCUGCUGAGAAGUGCUGAGAUCCGAACUACAAGGUAAAAUUUCGGUUAUUUUCCUUAGAAAUAAAACAAGGAUUUCUCUCAUUUUAAACCUCCCCUCUCUACAUACGGCUCGGUGGAGGGCUGAUCCCCUUGAGGGCAUAGUACGGCCGAGGCAUCCCCCGGCACAGGACCCUCUGGCGAAGAUUUCUUCCCCCACUUUGAGACCAUGGACUCCGGGUCUUCAGAGGCAGUCCUCUUCCUCCCCUGAGUAGAGGAAUUUUUGAUUCCUCCUUUCCAUACAGCCUCCUUCGGGGAGGCAGCAGCUUCUUUGUCCCCCCCUUCGCUUCUUUCGAAGGCACGAUCUCCAGCAUCCUGAUUAACACGGGAUCCGGCGAGGUCUCGGGAAGGGGGGCCGGACACCUGAUUAACUUCGCCUUCGCUACCCACUCCUGUUUCAAAGACAACUCUUUUAAGGGUGAUGUUGUGAUAAAUGAAUGGAUGGUGUGUCCGGGCACAGGGCUACUUACUUGAGUAUCCGGACGAUUGCAGCUCAGACCUGCGUCCUCCGUAGAAUCCGGACACACUACUUGUGGUCUGAAGAACAAUUUGUACAUUUCCACGGGCGUCAUGCCAAGAAAAUGUUGGAGAACUCGUGGUCCCUCCGGGUUGAACUCCCACAGGCAGAGGGGGCGACGUUUGCAGGGCAGAACUCGGCGAAUUAACAUAAUCUGCGUCACCACGACCAGACAGAUGUCUCUUUCUAGGAGAUCUUGGAUGCGGCCCUGCAACAGGGGCACGUCCUUUGCCGACCCCCAGUCCAGCCCCUUAUUAACCCAUGACGCCAGUCGUGGCGGGGGACCCGAGUGGGAAGCAGGCAGCGCCACCCACUUGGUGCUCCUGGGAGCUGUGAUAUAAAACCACUCUUGUUGCCAUAAGCUGAACUCCUCUUGAAAAGAGCCCUCGGGCCAUGGAGCGUCAGCAUUCUUUCUUAUAACAGCGCCUCCGCACUCCGCGUGCUGUCCCUCAAUCAUCUUCGGCUCUACUUUAAAGGUCUUAAGCCACAGUCCGAAGUGAGGAGUAAUACGGAGGAAGGCUUCGCACACGACAAUGAAUGAUGAGAUGUGGAGGAUGGACUCCGGGGCUAAGUCGUGAAAUUCCUAGCCCAUAAUAAAACAUGAGCCCCCUCACGAAGGGAUCCGUCACGAAGCCUAGCCCUUGGAGGAAGUGAGACACGAACACCACGCUCUCACCAGGCUUGGGGGUAGGAAUAACCUUCCCGUGAGCAGGCAGCCUAUGCGAGAUUUCGUCGGUUAAAAACAUGGCCUCUCUCAGCUUUAGCACGUCUUCCUCCGUGAUGGAGGAAGGCGUCCAUCGGCCUCGAAGGUCGGAGCCGGACAUCAUUGAAGGUCCGAAGUGCCUAAAAUCUGGGGCCUUGGGGUUUGGAACUCGAGGUGAAGGGCGAAUUCGAUUGAGAUCAAAAGAAAGGAGUAAGGUCUUGAUCUCUUUAUAAGAGGUUGAAUACCAAGAGCCCUCCCCGUGACCGUUUGGGACUAGCCUUUGAUCGAGGAGACACACCAACGUGCACGAUCGGGUUACCCACGUCCGUAUUGAUGAGAAUCCCGUAAAUAAAGGGGACACGAUCUCUGCUUCGACGAGACAUGCCAAGGAAACCGCCUCGCAAAACGCGAUGAGGUGGGACAGUAAAAACGGUUCAAAUGAAGGCUUGGCUGUGGCGUGAUGACACGCUACAGAAUACGUCAGCAGAUUAGAUUUGUGUAAAUAUUAUUCUCUCUACGACAGUAUGUGGAACUUAUUUUGCAGAGCCAGACACUAUCCUUGUGUUCAAAAUCUUCUAUGAAGUAUUCGGAGGAGGAACCCGCCUUGCAAUGCCGAAGACAAUCUGCGCGCCGGACUCGUCGUCAUUGAAGCCUGGUUCAGGGGCUACUGAGGGAGUCCUGGAUUAGGGGGUGUCCGGAUAGCCAGACUAUAACCUUUGGCCGGACUCUUGGACUAUGAGGAUACAAGAUUGAAGACUUCGUCCCAUGUCCGGAUGGGACUUUCCUUGGCGUGUAUGGCAAGCUUGGCAAUACGGAUAUGUAGAUCUCCUCCCAUUGUAACCGACUCUGUGUAACCCUAGCCCUCUCCAGUGUCUAUAUAAGCCAGAGGGUUUUAGUCCAUAAGACGAACAACAAUCAUACCAUAGGCUAGCUUCUAGGGUUUAGCCUCUCUGAUCUCGUGGUAGAUCUACUCUUGUACUACACAUAUCAUCAAUAUUAAUCAAGCAGGACCUAGGGUUUUACCUCCAUCAAGAGGGCCUAAACCUGGGUAAAACAUUGUGUCCCCUGCCUCCUGUUACCAUCUGGCCUAGACGCACAGUUCGGGACCCCCUACCUGAGAUCCGCCGGUUUUGACACCGACAGUGGGGCUUCUGUCUUUCUCUUAAAUGAGUUUUUGGUUACCAGGGGCUUCCGGCUUAGGCAUGAAGUUAUGAUUCCUCCUUGAACCGGCUAUAAGCCAAUAUAUAAAAAAGUUGGGGGCUUGUUACCGAGGUUAAAGGGACCAAAGAGAGUCUGUUGUCAAGACACGGCUCAAACAUAGGUACCCCUUGGGCACAACCCACAUAAUCACUUGGGGGCUUGGUCGUAUUUGAACCAUAGCUACACCUCUUGAUUGGCAUAAGGCCACCAGGGAAAUCACUUGGGGACUUGGUCAUAUUCGAACCAUAGCUACACCUCUUGAUUGUCAUAAGGCCACCAGGGAAAUCACUUGGGGGCUUCGUAUUCGAACCAUAGCUACACCUCUUGAUUGGCAUAAGGCCACCAAGGAAAUCACUUGGGGCCUUGGUCGUAUUCGAACCAUAGCUACACCUCUUGAUUGGCAUAAGGCCACCAGGGAAAUCACUUGGGGGCUUGGUCGUAUCCGAACCAUAGCUUAAACCAUCUUGAUCAGUACAACACCACAAUUAUGACUAUUUAAAUCCUUCUUGAUUUUUUCAGUUUAUAAUGCUUUAUGAGUAUAAUUUAUCUAUGCUUAUUAAACCGGCCUGGCCUUUGACUAUAAGUCACCAGUAAGAGGAAAACUAAUGUCCGGUGUUUAUUGAUCCGGCCUGGUUCCGUUCAUAAACCGGCAAAUAGAUGAUGAUUACCAAUAUUCGAGUUAUGGGUUAUCACCCUUAUUAUACCGGCUUGCUAAACCAGCAGUGUGAUAAAAUAUCACAGGUAUGGUAUAUCUUAAAUUGCAUAUGGUUAUUUUUAUGCGUAGCAAUGGUUAUAAACUAUGUUAUUGGGCAAGAUAACCCAUCUAGCGGUAAACCGCUAGGACAUUUUUAUUUAUUAAUUGCAGGAGCAGAUUCCAUAGUGCUAAGUAUCAUAAGCAGACAUAGCAUAUCUUAACAUGGCGGAUUAACAAUGUCAUGCAAAGUAAAUAUGCACGAUGGCAUAGCAGACCAAGCAUUUAAACUAGCCUAUUACAUGGCGGUUUCAUGCCCAUAAGAACAAUUGUUUCAAACAAGUCUUGCAGAAGGAAGAAGCUAAACCGGCUACCGGUUUAUGAAUCUUGAUCGGGCUGGCUUGAAGGUUGUGGAUCAUCCUGCGCCGGUUCACCCUCCUCUUCUCUACCCAGUUGCUAGAAGUCAUUGGUUGACAAAUCGAUCCCAGUUAAGGCUCUGAAUACAACUUCAUCGCUUAUAAGUGAGGAGGGGUCAACAUCAGGAGCAUAAGUAUGCUUACGGAUUGGCGGAAUAAGAUUCGGAGCGUUGCAACUUGGCAGAUUAACUUUCUUGUUGUUGGCAUCAUAAAUCGACUGAUAAUGUCAGAUCAGUUUCUUCAGCCAAUUUGCUAGCCAAUGGACGCAUCUCCCUUGUCAAAGCUCAGAGGUCAUCGUUAUCAAAAUCUGACCCAUCCUCUUUUAUGCUCGGAUAGCCGUUUCCAAGAUCGGUCGGGUCAAGAUCAGAGAUCCAGGCUUUGGCCCGAGUUAAUGCGGUAAGAGCACCCGCUCUGGUAGCUGAUUUCUGCAGUUCCUCAAUCCAAACAGGCAUCACAGCUAGCCUUACCAAUGUAUCCUUGAUCAAGGUUGGGGGCGGUUUAUUAUGAGAGGUUGUGCAGAUGACCCGUUGUAUGUCGGUAUAUAGCUCUUCUGUAAAUUUAUAGGCAGCUUUCAGGCUUUGAUGCAUGUCCGAGCCAAGAUGAGCAACACGACUCCCUGCAUUGACAAAAAUAUUGGUAAACCGCCAGUCUAUUCAAUAAUACAUGUUUACGGUUUGUGAAGAUGAUUACUUACCAAAGAUAGCAGUAGUCAUGGCAUUUAUUUGCCGCUUUAAGCCACUCAAUUCCUCCAUGACCGGAUUAGGGGCCGCUUCAGCAUCCUCAGCCCUCUUCAGCAGAGUGGUUUUCUCUGUAUCCCAGCCUGCCCGCUCACUCUUAAAGGUCUCCUUCAGUUUUUCCAUAGCUGCUAAAGCGUUGGUCAGCUCUUCUUUGGCCUUGGAAGUCUCGGCUUGUUGAGUUUUGAUAUUUUCUUGAAGGUCGGCGACUUGGGUUUCUUUUUUGCUAAGUUCAGCCUGCAAGAGAUAUGCAAUUUGUGAGUUGGCAGUAUAUAUUUGAAGUCCCAAGCACAUGACAAGUCAUACACUUGGCACUUGGGGGCUAAUGGCUAUUGCUUCUUCUCCAAAAUUAUUACAAAGUCCCAAGCGCAUGACAAGUCAUAUACUUGGCACUUGAGGACUAAUGCAUAUUCGUUCAAGUUAAAUACUAUGGAUUUUUCUGCCAUCAAUCAGCUUGGUGGUUCAUCGGUUUACAAAGAUUGUCAAAUGAAUGUUGAGUCUUAUAGUAAAAAGACCCAGUUCAUCUUGAAAAGAUAAACCAGCCCUUAGGGGCUACACAGGAAAAGUUGAAGUAUUUUCUAACAGUCUCGGUUCAUAUCAGUAUUAUAAACUGGCCCUUGGGGACUAUUGGAGUUUGUAGCCUAAAACAGUUAUAAGGGAAGAGUAGUUAUGCAGAAAUCAGCAGCGUUUACCUCAUAUCGCUCCUUCAUCAUGUUCAAUAACCCGGCUUCAUAAUCACGGCUGGUGUAUAGCCAGUUUAAAAACCCAGAGUGGAUAUCUUGGGUGCUGAGAUGGGCAUAACUUUCUAGAUCCACCUUCCACUUGCCCUUAUCUAUAGCAGAAAAUUCUUCCUUGGCACUAUGUUUUGACAGAGCAGUGGGGUUGCCUGGGGCCGUAUAGCUGACGCCAGUAACGACAGCAUCGUCCGUUUUAUCAUCAACAACUUUGGUUGGGCUUGGCGGUUUAUCGUCAUGAGCGACCGGAUCAAUUUCCAUUUGCUCAACAAAGGUUUCAUGAUCUUGUGCUGGCGGAUCAUCAAGGACAGCAUCGUAUUUGGUUCAGACGGCUCUGGAGUCUUUUCCGGAUCAGCUGUCGUGUUGUCAUCAGCCGGUUUAUUCAACUUGGCCUUUUUGCUGGGUCUGGCCUUGGCUCUGAAAGGUAUGAACGAAAAGUUUAGUAGGCAAACAUAAGGUAUAAAGGGUUAGUUUAAUAUGCUCACCCAGGAACGGUUUUGAGGGGUGGAAGUUGUGUUCCUGUGGACUCGCCAGAAGAAGAGUGAGAAGUUCCCUGAUAGUUCGAAUCAGACGGAUUAAGAGGUUGUCGCAAAUAACCCGCCUUGGGAUAAGGUGUGUCAGAAAUAUGAGAGACCUCUGGGCGGCGUUUAGGAACCGGUGUGUUCGGUAAACCGGACGAAGUGACCACAUGACCGCUAUGCCGGGUUGUGUGGCGAGCUUCAUGUUGUUGUUUCUUAAAAAUAAAGUUUGUAUCCAAGUGAGCUAGGGGUGAGAAAAUUUUACUUUCCGGAUUGCUUGUCAGGUUCUCUGCGUGGGCAGAGAGUCUGAACCGGAUGAGAGAGUAAUUACCUCAAUGUCACUCGUGUGGCUGGCUUCCGCGUCAUCCUGAUAACGGUCAUUGUCAAUGAGGUGCAUGAAUAAAGAGCCAAGUGAAUCAAAUUCUACCUCUCACUCCGGAUCAUCAUUGUUAAUGAUUAAAUCAAAAGAGUCAGUCAUCUUCUUCUUGGCAGAUUUCUUCGUGACCUUGGUCUUGGCGCGGGGUGUUUUAGCUGGUUUAUCUUGAGUUUUCCUCUUCCAGAAUGGAUCAUCGCCCUGUUAAAAAUCGGAAAAGGUCAUAAGGGAGUAUUAAAAACAUGGAUUAAGACAGGAGUAAAGUAACUCUUACAGCUGGCGGUUUAUUCGUAACGCAGAAAGCACUAAGCCCCAUUUUGCUGCAAUCAGCUACCGGUUCAUCCAGCAUCUUCUUGACAAAUUCAGUAAUUUCAGCAUCAGUUAUCUGAAUAUCAAUGUGCCGUUGAGGGUCUUUUACAUCCCUUGUGUACUUGCACAUUAAACCGGGCGACGGCUUAAGGGUAAAAUGCUCCAAGAAACCCAGCAACGAACGAAAUCAAUGCGUGUCAAGCCGUUUGCUACAAAAGCUCUGAGCUUCGAAAGUUGUGGGGUAUAUUUGGCCCAUUCCUUUGCACUGAGUCUUUGAGGGAGUGGGUGUGAACCGGUGAGCCGAUGAGCAGAGUAACCCGGUAGAGGGUUUUCAUCAGCAGGAGAGGUAUCUUUGCAAUAGAACCAAGUCUGGUUUCAAUCCUUAAGGUGGCUGUGAUGCUUGGCAUGAGGGAAGCUGACAUAUUUUCUUUUCUGAAUUGACACCCCACCAAGUUCAUUAUUGGGCCCAUCAGUAAACUCAGUACGGCGGUUUAAGUAGAAGAAAUCUCUAAACAGCUCGACUGUGGGCUCUUCUUUCAAGUAAGCUUCGCAAAAAACUUAAAAGUUGCAAAUAUUGGAGAGUUAGGUCCGAUAUCUUGAGGGUGGAGUUGAAAAUAAUGAAGUACAUCACGGAAUUUUUUUGAUCCGGGAGGUUUAAACCCGUAGCUUAGAUGAUCAACAAACACAAUCACUUCACCAUCCUUGGGCUUAGGAGGAUUUUCUGGACCGGGGGCCCUCCAAUGGAUCUCAUUCUUUUUUCAUAACGCGCCAGUUGCAACACAUCUGUUCAAUUCUUCUUCUGUAAUCCGGGAUAGAACCCAGUUAGAAGCAUAAAACUGCUUGGCCAUUUUUUCGGCAACCUGAAUGAAGAUUUGUGCCGGUUUAAGAUUUGCGGCUAAUCCGUCAAAGGUUAAAGGGCAGAAAUUGUUCAAGCAUGCAAGUACGGUAAACCGGAGACUGAGGUUAUCAAUUUAUAGAAAUGAGAAAGUGGCGGUUUAGAGGGGACUAAUGGCAUAUGGCAGGUUAUUUUCUAAAAGAUAAACUGCCUACACGGACAAUGAGAGUAUAGAUCUGAAGCCAAAAAACGACUAAGUGAGGAAGAACACGUUCCACAGUUUCACAUUAUAAUUUCAGAUCUACCGCAUGUGAGGAAAAGGAAAAUAUUUAGACCUAAAGGUUGGUGCUUGAGCAGUUCAUGAAGUUCUAGAUUGGGAUUUUCUACACAAAAGAGAUGAUCUGAUGGCAAAAGAAGGACUAUGGUUGCUACCGCACAAGGAUAUAUCAGGUUUGGAAUCUAUCAUGUAUGCUAUGAUGAAGAACAGGGAAACAACACCACAGAACUUCCAUGAGCCUGUGCAAACCCUAAACAGAUCUAUAGAGGAGAGUAAGAAGAACUCGCCGAAACGGUUGAAUGGCGGAGGUGGAUGAGAAGGGUCUGGUCCGAACAGGUCGAUGCAGCGGCCAAAGUUGAAGCAGAGGUGAAGUUCAACGGCGGCGGCGGAGUUCGAGCACUGGGGCGUCGCAAGGAGGAUGAUGAGAUGAACAGGCACAGGGGAGGAAAAUGAAAGGGACCCCCGGUCCUAUUUAUAAGGCAAAUGGAUAAGCGGCAAGCGCGGGAAUCAAGGAGGCCAAAAACGGAUCUGUCGAUGCAUAGAUGCCUCGAUUUUCAGAGUUUCAUUAAAGAAAAGGAGGCAUAUUAAAGGAUUUGGGCUCUGUACAAAGGUAGUGGCAGGUGACGUCGCGGCGGAUUACUAAGAUUCCAGGAGAUUACAUCAUGGCAAGUUAUAAGUUUGGGAAGGUGAUGAAGAAGGGAUUUUUUCUAAGUAUUAAAGAUUGAUAUGAACAGGUUCAAAUCAACCUGGGGCCUAAUGUUGGGGAUAUAACUAUUGAGCAUAAACCUCCCUGGAGGGGCCGGGUUAUACCCAUAGUGAAGCACCUGUAUUGAAGCUCGUGAAGACAUAAAGGAUGGCACUUUAGUAAAGAAAUGUAAUAACAAGACUCAGGGCCCAGAGACGGGUUAGAGCCCAUAAAUGUAAACCACCAUAAGGUGUAUGACUUGUAUUGUACGUUAGGAAAGAGUAGAUACUGAGCCGGGCACGAUUAUGAGCCGGCCGGGAUUUUGUAAACCGAUUGGGCAUCAACCUGUGUAUAUAAAGGGACGACCCGGCGGCGGUUUAGGGACAAGAAACAAGAGGUCGAGAGCCGGGUCAAGUGUAUUCGCUCCCCAUUCAUCGAAACCCUAGCAAUUCCAACCACAACUGGACUAGGAUUUUACCUUCGUCGUAAGGGGCCGAACUAGUAUAAACUCCUUAUGUCUUUGUCCUGAUUAACCCCUUUAAGUUAACCUCAACGUGAUGGCUCCACGACUAAGUCCUCACACUAGGAAAUCUGUCGUGAAAAUUCCACGACAAAAUCAAAAUGGAAUGAAACCUUCGGGACCGUUAUUUUUGGAACAAACGCAAUCCAGGAGACUUGGACUGGACGUCAAGGAAGAAACGAGGCGGCCACGAGGUAGGAGGGCGCGCCCGGGGGGGUAGGCAUGCCCCCCACCCUCGUGGGCCCCUCGUGGCUCCGCCGACCUACUUCUUUCGCCUAUAUAUACUCAUAUACCCCAAAAACAUCGAGGAGCACCACGAAACCCUAUUUCCACCGCCACAACCUUCUGUACCUGUGAGAUCCCAUCUUGGGGCCUUUUCCGGUGCUCCGCCGGAGGGGGAAUCGAUCACAGAGGGCUUCUACAUCAACACUAUAGCCUCUCCAAUGAUGUGUGAGUAGUUUACCACAGACCUUCGGGUCCAUAGUUAUUAGCUAGAUGUCUUCUACUCUCUCUUUGGAUCUUAAUACAAAGUUCUCCUCGAUUCUCUUGGAGAUCCAUUCGAUGUAAUUCUUUUUGCGGUGUGUUUGUUGAGAUCCGAUGAAUUGUGGGUUUAUGAUCAAGAUUAUCUAUGAACAAUAUUUGAUUCUUCUCUGAAUUCUUUUAUGCAUGAUUUAAUAUCUUUGCAAGUCUCUUCAAAUUAUCAGUUUGGUUUGGCCUACUAGAUUGAUCUUUCUUGCAAUAGGAGAAGUGCUUAGCUUUGGGUUCAAUCUUGCGGUGUCCUUUCCCAGUGACAGCAGGGGCAGCAAGGCACGUAUUGUAUUGUUGCCAUCGAGGAUAAAAAGAUGGGGUUUAUAUCAUAUUGCUUGAGUUUAUCCCUCUACAUCAUGUCAUCUUGCCUAAUGCGUUACUCUGUUCUUAUGAACUUAAUACUCUAGAUGCAUGCUGGAUAGCGGUCGAUGUGUGGAGUAAUAGUAGUAGAUGCAGAAUCAUUUCGGUCUACUUGUCGCGGACGUGAUGCCUAUAUACAUGAUCAUGCCUAGAUAUUCUCAUAACUAUGCGCUUUUCUAUCAAUUGCUCGACAGUAAUUUGUUCACCCGCCGUAGAAUUUGCUAUCGUGAGAGAAGCCACUAGUGAAACCUAUGCCCCCCGGGUCUAUCUUCCAUCAUAUUAUUUUCCUAUCCACUUGAUAUUUCUAUCGUUGUUUAUUUUGCAAUCUUUAUUUUCCAAUCUAUACAAUAAAAAGACCAAAAAUAUUUAUCUUAUUAUCUCUAUCAGAUCUCACUUUCUUAAGUGACCGUGAAGGGAUUGACAACCCCUUUAUCGCGUUGGUUGCGAGGUUCUUGUUUGUUUGUGGAGGUACUAGGGACUUGCGUGUUGCCUCCUACUGGAUUGAUACCUUGGUUCUCAAAAACUGAGGGAAAUACUUACGCUACUUUGUUGCAUCACCCUUUCCUCCUCAAGGGAAAACCAAUGCAUGCUCAAGAGGUAGCAAGAAGGAUUUCUGGCGCCGUUGCCGGGGAGGUUGCACCAAGUCAAGUCAAGAUUUGAUCUCCUGUCAACAAGCCAUUUUUGUCACCGUUGCUGGGGAGAUCUACGCACAAGUCAAGACAUACCAAGUACCCAUCACAAACUCUUAUCCCUCGCAUUACAUUAUUUGCCAUUUGCCUCUCGUUUUCCUCUCCCUCACUUCACCCUUGCCGUUUUAUUCGCCCUCUUUUUCGUUUGCCUCUUUUCCGUCCGUCUCUUUUCGCUUGCUUCUUGUGUGCUUGUGUGUUGGAUUGUUUGUCACUGAUAACCCACAAGUAUAGGGGAUCAAUUGUAGCCUCUUUUGAUAAGUAAGUGUGUCGAACCCAACGAGGAGCUAAAGGUAGAACAGAUAUUCCCUCAAGUUCCAUCGACCGCCGAUACAACUCUACGCUCGCUUUGUUGGGUAACAUAGUAAUUUCAAAUUUUUCCUACGCACAUGCAAGAUCAUGGUGAUGCAUAGCAACGAGAGGGGAGAGUAUUGUCCACGUACCCUCGUAGACCGUAGGCGGAAGCAUUAUGAGAACGCGGUUGAUGUAGUUGUACGUCUUCAUGAUCCGACCGAUCCAAGUACCCAACGCACGACACCUCCGAGUUCAGCACACAUUCAGCUUGAUGACGUCCCACGAACUCUGAUCCAGCAGAGCUUCGCGGGAGAGUUCCGUCAGCAUGACGGCAUGAUGACGGUGAUGAUGUUGCUACCGACGCAGGGCUUCGCCUAAGCACCGCUACGAUAUGAUCGAGGUGGAUUAUGGUGGAGGGGGCACCGCACACGGCUUGGAACAAUCAACUUGUGUGUAUUUGGGUGCCCCCUGCCCCCGUAUAUAAAGGAGCAAGGGGGGAAGUCGGCCGGCCUUGGUGCGCCCCAAGGAGAGGAGGAAUCCUCCUCCUAGUUGGAGUAGGAUUCAUCCUUUCCUAGUCCUACUAGGAAGGGGAAAGGGGGAAGGAAAUAGAGGGAGAGGGAGAGGGAAAGAGGGGUCGCGCCCCCUCCCCUAGUCCAAUUCAGACUCCUCAUAGGAGGGGGCGCGCCACCUCCUGGGCUGCAGCCCUCUCUCUCUCUCCCCUCAGGCCCACUAAGGCCCAAUACUUCCCCGGGGGGUUCUGGUAACCCCUCCGGCACUCCGUUUUCUCUGGAACCAUCCGGAACAUUUCCGGUGUCCGAAUAUAGCCGUCCAAUAUAUCAAUCUUUACAUCUCGACCAUUUCGAGACUCCUCGUCAUGUCCGUGAUCACAUCCGGGACUCCAAAAUACCUUCGGUACAUCAAAAUACAUAAACUCAUAAUACCGAUCAUCACCGAACUUUAAGUGUGCGGACCCUACGGGUUCAAGAACUAUGUAGACAUGACCGAGACUCGUCCCCGGUCAAUAACCAAUAGCGGAACCUGGAUGCUCAUAUUGGUUCCUACAUAUUCUGCGAAGAUCUUUAUCGGUCAAACCGCAUAACAACAUACGUUGUUCCCUUUGUCAUCGGUAUGUUACUUGCCCGAGAUUCGAUCGUCGGUAUCCUCAUACCUAGUUCAAUCUCGUUACUGCCAAGUCCCUUUACUCGUUCCAUAAUACAUCAUCCUGCAACUAACUCAUUAGUCACAAUGCUUGCAAGGCUUAUAGUGAUGUGCAUUACCGAGAGGGCCCAGAGAUACCUCUUCGACAAUCAGAGUGACAAAUCCUAAUCUCGAUCUAUGCCAACUCAACAGGUACCAUCGGAGACACCUGUAGAGCACCUUUACAAUCACCCAGUUACAUUGUGAAGUUUGGUAGCACACAAAAUGUUCCUCCGGUACACGGGAGUUUCAUAAUCUCAUAGUCAUAGGAACAUGUAUAAGUCAUGAAGAAAGCAAUAGCAACAAACUAAAUGAUCAUUGUGCUAAGCUAACGGAAUGGGUCAAGUCAAUCACAUCAUUCUCUAAUGAUGUGAUCCCGUUAAUCAAAUGACAACUCAUGUUUAUGGUUAGGAAACAUAACCAUCAUUGAUUCAACGAGCUAGUCAAGUAGGGGCAAACUAGUGACACUCUGUUUGUCUAUGUAUUCACACAUAUACUAAGUUUCCGGUUAAUACAAUUUUAGCAUGAAUAAUAAAUAUUUAUCAUGAUAUAAGGAAAUAUAAAUAACAACUUUAUUAUUGCCUCUAGGGCAUAUUUCCUUCAGUCUCCCACUUGCACUAGAGUCAAUAAUCUAGAUUACACAGUAAUGAUUCUAACACCCAUGGAGCCUUGGUGCUGAUCAUGUUUUGCUCGUGGAAGAGGCUUGGUCAAUGGGUCUGCAACAUUCAGAUCCGUAUGUAUCUUGCAAAUCUCUAAGUCUCCCACCUGGACUUGGUCCCGGAUGGAGUUGAAGCGUCUCUUGAUGUACUUGGUUCUCUUGUGAAAUCUGCAUUCCUUUGCCAAAGCAAUUGCACCAAUAUUGUCACAAAAGAUUUUCAUUGGACCCGAUGCACUAGGUAUGACACCUAGAUCGAAUAUGGACUCCUUCAUCCAGACUCCUUCAUUUGCUGCUACCGAAGCAGCUAUGUAUUCCGCUUCACAUGUAGAUCCCGCUACGACGCUUUGUUUAGAACUGCACCAACUGACAGGUCCACCGUUUAAUAAAAACAUGUAUCCGGUUUGCGAUUUAGAAUCAUCUGGAUCAGUGUCAAAGCUUGCAUCGACGUAACCAUUUACGACGAGCUCUUUGUCACCUCAUAAAUGAGAAACAUAUCCUUCAUUCUUUUCAGGUAUUUCAGGAUGUUCUUGACCGCUGCCAGUGAUCCACUCCUGGAUUACUUUGGUACCUCCCUGGUAAACUAAUAGCAAGGCACACAUCAGGUCUGGUACACAACAUUGCAUACAUGAUAGAGCCUAUGGCUGAAGCAUAGGGAACAUCUUUUAUUUUCUCUCUAUCUUCUGCAAUGGUCGGGCAUUGAGUCUUACUCAAUUUCACACCUUGUAACACAGGCAAGAACCCUUUCUUUGCUUGAUCCAUUUUGAACUUCUUCAAAACUUUGUCAAGGUAUGUGCUUUGUAAAAGUCCAAUUAAGCGUCUUGAUCUAUCUCUAUAGAUCUUGAUGCCCAAUAUAUAAGCAGCUUCACCGAGGUCUUUCAUUGAAAGACUCUUAUUCAAAUAUCCUUUUAUGCUAUCCAGAAAUUCUAUAUCAUUUCCAAUCAACAAUAUGUCAUCCACAUAUAAUAUCAGAAAUGCUACAGAGCUCCCACUCACUUUAUUGUAAAUACAGGCUUCUCCAAAAGUUUGUAUAAAACUAUAUGCUUUGAUCACACUAUCAAAACGUUUAUUCCAACUCCGAGAGGCUUGCACCAGUCCAUAAAUGGAUCGCUGGAGCUUGCAUACUUUGUUAGCUCCCUUUGGAUCGACAAAACCUUCCGGUUGCAUCAUAUACAACUCUUCUUCCAGAAAUCCAUUCAGGAAUGCAGUUUUGACAUCCAUUUGCCAAAUUUCAUAAUCAUAAAAUAGGCAAUUGCUAACAUGAUUCAGACAGACUUAAGCAUCGCUACGGGUGAGAAGGUCUCAUCGUAGUCAACUCCUUGAACUUGUCGAAAACCUUUUGCAACAAGUCAAGCUUUGUAGACAGUAACAUUACCGUCAGUAACUCCAAUUAGGCUGAAUUUUGGACACGAUUUUUAUCCGGAUAUUAGCUUUAUUGCGGCAAAAUAAGGGCAACAACCGCCUUACGGGGUGUCAUGAGGGUCAGAGGCGCGCUUGCCCCCCCUGCCUCGUGGCCCCCUCGGGCAUCGUCUCGCAUUGAUUCUUCUUCCCAAAAAAUCACAUAUAUUCCAAAAAAAUCUCCGUCAGUUUUUAUCCCGUUUGGACUCCAUUUGAUAUGGAUUUUCUGCAAAACAAAAAACAUGUAACAAACAGGAACUGGCACUGUGCACUAGAUCAAUAUGUUUGUCCCCAAAAAUAGUAUAAAAAGUUGCCAAAAGUAUAUGAAAGUUGUAUAAUAUUGGCAUGGAACAAUCAAAGUUAUAGAUAUGACGGAGACAUAUCAGUCACAAUGGCUCAAGACAAUACUAAAUUGUGUGAUUUUUCUAAUACCAACAAUAAUGACUUCAUUAACACUCUGAUUGCUCCUCUUACCGAUGCUGAAUCUUGUGAAAUUAAUACUGCUUUGCUGAACCUUGUUAUGAAAGAUCCAUUUUCUGGCCUUCCUAGUGAAGAUGUCGCUACCCAUCUAAACAGCUUUGUUGAUUUGUGUGAUAUGCAAAAGAAGAAAGAUGUGGAUAAUGAUAUUGUUAAAUUGAAGCUAUUUCCGUUUUCUCUUAGAGAUCGUGCUAAAACUUGGUUUUCGUCUUUGCCUAAAAAUAGUAUUGAUUCAUGGAAUAAGUGCAAAGAUGCUUUUAUCUCUAAGUAUUUUCCUCCCGCUAGGAUCAUCUCUCUUAGAAACAAUAUUAUGAAUUUUAAGCAACUGGAUCACGAGCAUGUUGCACAAUCUUGGGAGAGGAUGAAAUUAAUGAUACGUAAUUUCCCUACUCAUGGAUUAAACUUAUGGAUGAUCAUACAAUUUUUUUAUGUUGGAUUGAAUUUUUCUUCUAGAAAUAUUUUAGAUUUGACCGCGUGAGGCACUUUUAUGGAAAUCACUUUAGGAGAAGCUACUAAACUCCUAGAUAACAUUAUGGAUAAUUAUUCUCAAUGGCACACCGAAAGAUCUACUAGUAAAAAGGUUCAUGCUAUAGAAGAAAUUAAUGUUUUAAGUGGAAAGAUGGAUGAACUUAUGAAAUUGUUGGCUAAUAAGAGUGUUUCUUCUAAUCCUAAUGAUAUCCCUUUGUCUACUUUGAUUGAGAAUAAUAAUGAAUCUAUGGAUGUGAAUUUUGUUGGUAGGAACAAUUUUGGUAACAACGCGUAUAGAGGAAACUUUAAUCCUAGGCCGUUUCCUAGUAAUUCCUCUAAUAAUUAUGGUAAUUCCUACAACAACUCUUAUGGAAAUUUUAAUAAUAUGCCCUCUGAUUUUGAGACUAGUGUUAAAGAAUUUAUGAUUUCGCAAAAGAAUUUCAAUGCUUUGCUUGAAGAAAAAUUGCCUAAGAUUGAUGAGUUGGCUAGGAACGUGAAUAGAAUUUAUCUUGAUGUUGAUUCUUUGAAACUUAGAUCCAUUCCACCUAAGAAUGAUAUCAAUGAGUCUCUCAAAUCUAUAAGAAUUUCCAUUGACGAGUGCAAAGAAAGAACCGCUAGGAUGCGUGCUAAAAAAGAUUGCUUUAUAAAAGCAUGUUCUUCUAGUUUUCACGAUAAUAAGGAUGAAGAUCUAAAAGUGAUUGAUGUGUCUCCUAUUAAAUCUUUGUUUUGCAAUAUGAAUCAUGAUAAUUAUGGGACUGGAGAUGAGUCAACUUUAGCUAAAAGGCGUCCCAAUGAUUUGGAGUUUUUAGAUCUGAAGGAAAUAUGCCGUAGAGGCAAUAAUAAAGUUAUUAUUUAUUUCCUUAUAUCAUGAUAAAUGUUUAUUAUUCAUGCUAGAAUUGUAUUAACCGGAAACAUAAUACAUGUGUGAAUACAUAGACAAACAAAGUGUCACUAGUAUGCCUCUACUUGACUAGCUCGUUGAUCAAAGAUGGUUAUGUUUCCUAGCCAUAGACAUAAGUUGUCAUUUGAUUAAUGGGAUCACAUCAUUAGGAGAAUGAUGUGAUUGACUUGACCCAUUCCGUUAGCUUAGCACUUGAUCGUUUAGUAUGUUGCUAUUGCUUUCUUCAUGACUUAUACAUGUUCCUAUGAGUAUGCGAUUAUGCAACUCCCGUUUAUCGGAGGAACACUUUGUGUGCUACCAAACGUCACAACAUAACGGGGUGAUUAUAAAGAUGCUCUACAGGUGUCUCCGAAGGUACUUGUUGAGUUGGCAUAUUUCGAGAUUAGGAUUUGUCACCCCGAUUGUCGGAGAGGUAUCUCUGGGUCCGCUCGGUAAUGCACAUCACUAUAAGCCUUGCAAGCAUUGUAACUAAUGAGUUAGUUGCGGGAUGACGUAUUACGGAACAAGUAAAGAGACUUUCCGGUAACAAGAUUGAACUAGGUAUUGAGAUACCGACGAUCGAAUCUCGGGCAAGUAACAUAGUGAUGACAAAGGGAACAACGUAUGUUGUUAUGCGGUUUGACCUGUAAAGAUCUUCAUAGAAUAUGUAGGAGCCAAUAUGAGCAUCCAAGUUCCGCUAUUGGUUAUUGACCGGAGACGUGUCUCGGUCAUGUCUACAUAGUUCUCGAACCCGUAGGGUCCGCACGCUUAAAGUUUGGUGACAAUCGGUAUUAUGAGUUUUUGUGUUUUGAUGUACCAAAGUGUGACGCCCGGAUAAUUAAACUACAGUAAACCCUUGUUAAUGGUGCCAUGUCAUCACUUUACUAUUACUAAUCCACGGUUGAUAGAAAUCGCAAUCCAAAUUCAAGUUCAAACUAUAGUGCAAAAUUCAAAUUUCUCAAACAUGCAAAAUAAAAUGUUCAAAGUGUUGCAAAUAUUGCAUAAUUAUUUAUGAUGGUGAGACAACAUUGUUUUAAAGUCUUUAAUUGCUCCUAAGUAUAUAUAUCAGUGGCUAAAAACAAUAAUUAAAUGCCUUUUAUAAAUUAUAAAAUAUUAAACUAAAUUUUUUUGGUGUCAAGCUUUUUGUGGCAGUUCUCAAUGUUUCCUAGUAUUUGUUUUGUCCAACUCCACUUUUUUAAAAUUCAUUUGGUGGCUUAUUUAAAUGCAAAUGGAGGCUGUUAAAAGAAAACAGAAUAAUAAAAAGAAAACUGAGAAGAAGAAAAGGAAGAGAGAGCACAUGCCCCCACUGGCCCUCACCCAAGUCAGCCCACCUAACCCCCGGUCGUCUUCUCCUGUUCACGACCGUGCCCGAACAGGAUCGCGUCCCCGUCGAACCACCUCGUCGGCCAUGCCGUGGGAGGAUAAGGCCUCCACCGAGGCGCCCCUCCCCCCAGAUAUCUUCUUCCCACUCGCCUCACUCCUCCUCGGCGCCCUCCCUCCCAGAUCCAUCUUCUCUCUCUCCCUCGUCGUCCUCUCGGCUCACCCGAGCGCCAACGUCGCCGUCGUUGGCCACCACCGCGGCGACCGUCUUCCCCGUGCCUCUCCAACCUGUCCGUCUGCACCAACGUCGUCGACUGCGUCCUCCCCGUCCACAGGAUCGAGCUUGGACCCCCUCGACCAUCGGGAUCGGGUUCUUCCCCGCACCUACGGCCGCCGACGAGCUCCGUCCGCUGCGACCGUCCUGCUACUGCUAAUCCGUCGCCGGCCUUUCGUGUGCCACACCGUGAGCCUCUACUCCUUCUCCUCCUCUUCCCCGUUGGAUUCGGUCCAUUAGCGCAUCUUCCGCUCGUUGCCGUAGCCUACGGCCGCUUGCACGACUCCCUCACCCGUGCUCCGUUGGCCUCUGGCCAUGACCGGCUGCACCCGACCGCGUCCCCGUGCGUGCUCGCCCGCGCGUGGCGGUGCCUCCGCCGAGCCCACCGUCCUGCUGCCGCUGCUCAUCGCCGGCCGGCGUUGCGGAUGCCAUGGCCGGAGCUCCGCUCCCGCGCGCGGUCAUGCGCCCCUGUCGUGGCCCUCAAACGCACGCGAACCCCAUGCAUCGCCGCUCCCUGCGUUGCCACCCACCGCGCCCUGUCUCUGCUCGCGCCCGCCGUGGCCACGUCCUUGGACUGCACCCUGUAGCCGCCCCGCGCCUGCUUCGCGCGCGCCUGGCCGCGCCUGACCGCGCCGGCUGCUACCCUCGCCGCGCCUGGCCGCGCCUGACCGCGCCGGCUGCUACCCUCGCCGCGCCUUGCCUCCACCCCACCCGUGCUCGCCUGCUGCUGCUUGCUAGUUGCUACCACGGCGCUGCUGCUGCAUCUACUACUGCCGCUGCUAACUGUACUAUGUACUGCUAGCUACUGAAGAUGCUACUAGCUAGCUUUUCUCUUUUUACAAUGACUAACCCUCUAUACAGCCCGUUAACAUAGUCUAAACGGUUAUUAACAUUAGUAAAAAUAAUAUGAGUAGAAACUAUCCAUGACAAACUUCAUUUUAUCCCAUUGGAACAAAUCCAUUUGAUGCAUGGAAUAAAUCCUACGAAAAUCACAAAAUGCUAUCUUUUGUUAACAGAAAACAGAUUUGUGUGUUGCGUGGUGUGUGUGGUGUGUGUUUUGCGUGUGUGGCCGGCUGGGCCAUUGUCCAGUACGGCUGGCCCCUUGUUUAAUUAGGACUAGAUUAGUUAGUGUUAAAUUAGUGCUAAUUUACUUUAAUAGCAAAUGACACGUGGACCACCCUGUUGGUUAUCUCUAAUUAAUUGACUUAAAAUGACAAGUAAGACCCACUAACACUGUUCACACAUUGACCAAGGUCAACUUUGACUGUUGACCUGUUGGCUGGGCUUUGAGUGGCCUCACAUGUCAUUGACUGUGGCUGGCCCGGUCAGGGUAUAAAAAGAAUCAACAUUAUUUAAAUUCGAAAUAAAUAAUUAAAACAAUUUUAGUAUAUUAAUAAAACUUUGAAAAAUCAUAUAAAUUAAACCGUAAGUCAGAUGAAAAUGUUUUCUACAUGAAAGUUGCUUAGAAAAAUUCAACGAAUCCGAAUACGCGGUCCGUUCAUCUGUCACAUGCCCCUAGCAUGUUGAACAUGGAACUUUCCCCCUCUUUUUCCUUUGUCCGGAAUCCGCCUAACGCCGGGAAUUCAUCCUCGGAUGUUUCCCCCCUUCGUCUGCAAUGUGUAGUACCGUGUUAGAGCACGCCUAGCGCUACGUAUCGUCAUGUCAUGCUUAGUGAUACCUCUGUUUGCUAUGUAUUUACUGUUUCUUCCCCCUCUUCUCUCCGGUAGAUCCCGAGGCCGAUGAUGCCCCGGUGAUCGACUACGUCGACGACGACCCCCCUCUCUUGCCAGAGCAACCAGACAAGCCCCCCCCCCUUAAUCACCAGAUAUCGCCUACUCUCCUCUAUACUGCUUGCAUUAGAGUAGUGUAGUAUGUUACUGCUUUCUGUUAAUCCUAUUCUCAUGCAUAGCCUGUCAUUGUUGCUACAACUGUUGAUACCUUACCUGCAAUCCUAAAUGCUUAGUAUAGGAUGCUAGAUUAUCAUCAGUGGCCCUACACUCUUGUCCGUCUGCCAUGCUAUACUACUGGGCCGUGAUCACUUCGGGAGGUGAUCACGGGCAUAUACUAUAUACUUUACAUUGUUACAUUACCGGUGAUACUGUUUGGAGAUGGGGGCUGAAGGGGCAGGUGGCUCCAUCCAGGUAGUGGUGGGCUUGAGUUUCCGACGGCCCCCGACUGUUACUUUGAGGUAGAGCGACAAGGCAGGUUGAGACUAUCUAGGAGAGAGGUGGGCCUGGCCCUGGUCGGCGUUCGCGGAUACAUAACACGCUUAACGAGAUCUUGGUAUUUGAUCUGAGUCUGGCUACUGGCCUAUACGCACUAACCAUCUAUGCGGGGACAGUUAUGGGCACUUGACGCCGUGGUAUCAGCCGAAGCCUUCAUGACGUCAGCGACUGAGCGGCGCGCGCCGGGUUGGACCGCGUAACGCAACUUCCUUUGUAACGGAGGUUGCUAGGUCUGCUCACCGGCCGCGUACGCAACGUGCAGGUGUGCAAUGGGCGAUGGACCCAGACCCCUACGCCAUAGGAUUUAGACCGGCGUGCUGACCUCUCUGUUGUGCCUAGGUAGGGCUGCGACGUGUUGAUCUUCCAAGGCCGGGCAUGACCCAGAAAAGUGUGUCCGGACAAAGGGGAUCGAGCGUGUUGGGAAAUGUGGUGCACCCUUGCAGGGAAGUUAAACUAUUCGAAUAGCCGUGAUCUUCGGUAAUAGGACGACUUGGAGUUGUACCUUGACCUUAUGACAACUAGAACCGGAUACUUAAUAAAACACACCCUUUCAAGUGCCAGAUAUAACCCGGUGAUCGCUCUCUAACAGGGCGACGAGGAGAGGAUCAUCGGGCAGGAUUAUGCUAUGCGAUGCUAUUUGGAGGACUUUAGUCUACUCUCUUCUACAUGCUGCAAGAUGGAGGUUACCAGAAGCGUAGUCUUCGAUAUGACUAGCUAUCCCCCUCUUAUUCCGGCAUUCUGCAGUUCAGUCCACAUAUGAUACCCUUAUUCCAUUUGAUACCAAUGCAUACAUAUGUAGUGUAGCUCCUUGCUUGCGAGUACUUUGGAUGAGUACUCACGGUUGCUUUGCUCCCUCUUUCCCCCUUUCUAUACUCGAUUGCUGCGACUAGACGGUGGAGCCCAGGAGCCAGACGCCACUGUCGAUGACGACUACUACUACUCGGGAGGUGCCUACUACUACGUGCAGCCCGCUGACGACGACCAGGAGUAGUUUAGGAGGAUCCCAGGCAGGAGGCCUGCGCCUCUUUCGAUCUGUAUCCCAGUUUGUGCUAGCCUUCUUAAGGCAAACUUGUUUAACUUAUGUCUGUACUCAGAUAUUGUUGCUUCCGCUGACUCUUCUAUGAUCAAGCUCUUGUAUUCGAGCCCUCGAGGCCCCUGGCUUGUAAUAUGAUGCUUGUAUGACUUAUUUUAUUU